UUUUUUUAGGUGAGGAAGUAGCAGAUUUUUGUUGCUUCUGUGCCAAGGUGGUUCCUAAGGAGGAGAAACAAGAGUGAAGAUGCGGGAGGACUUGGUCCUCCAUAUAGAACUUUUGCUUAAAACUUAUCGGGAGGAGUUUGUGCCUCCCUUGGUAUGUGUAAUAAUACUACUCAGCACUCGCUUUUAAUUCUGGUCUGUAAUAAACAACUCAAUCUUACUUUUUAAAUAAAUGUAAGUUAUGUAAUCGCUUCCGCAUUUCUUUAUCUCCGAUGUUUUGUAAUAUCUGCAAGACGGGUGAGACGUUCCUGGAAAGGUAAGGAAAGAUACCGAACUUGUCAAGUAGUUCAGGGGCACCUACAGGGUUGUCUGAGGUCCGUUGGACAAGGACAACUGUAGGUGGGCCUAAUUACUUGGGAGGUUCCGUCUCAGCUGGUAUCGGAGCGUAGCCCUUCUUUGUAGAUAUUAUGAGGCAUCUUCAAAAGGAUUUUCCAAAAGUCUUACCUAGAAAUUCUCUUCUCUUCUUACCUAAGUAUUCUGAAGAGUUUAUCUUAAAGACCAGAUAGGGAGAGUGCAAUGUAUAGAAGGUUGAAUCAACUAAGGUUGAUUCUGUACUUACACAUGCAUCAUGCUAAGAAUUAUACUAAUAAAGUUUUCCCCCUUAGAAAGAUGCCGCCGCGCACAAGGCAAACGGCACGCAAGUCAACUGGACCAAUCGGUGUGCCCCGGCAUCAACUGGCCCCUCGACAUGAGAACAGUAGCAGCGGGAGUAAUGACCCAAUAGGAGAUCUUGAAGCACGAGUAAGCCGACUUCAAGCGGAGUUGCAACACAGGACCAACGCUUGGGUUGCGGACGGAGAUAGAAUAAAUGAACUAAGAAGGGACAUCCGUCACCUGCGGGAUCAGCUUGCUGAUCGGGACUUAGCACUCCACUGGGCAGUCCAGUCCUGUUUGCUGGCUUGUGCUAAGGAAGCAAGGGCUCAAGCCCGAAUUAAGGAACUUAGCUCAACUAUCGACGACCUGCAGGUCUAUUGCAAUACGUUGCAUGAGGAAGUCCAUGUACUGUAUUCGCAAUUACACCCUAGUGCACCUGCGCACCCUGCUGAGGCGGAAGCCGGACCCUCCCGUGUUGCAGGACACGCGCUGGGUGGGGAGUUGACCUUUUUGAGCCCCCUCCUUCCAUGAGGCUGGUUGACGUAUGGACUCCCACACCCGACGACGAGGCCGCUAAAAGCAAUGGGAAGCAGGACUAGUGGUAUGGUAGAAGUAGUGUAGUGUAUUGUAGGUUGUACUGGUGUAUAAUAGGUAAUGCUAUUGUAUACUAGGUAUUGUACCCUGUUGUAAGAGUCUUGAGUCUGUAACAUUACUUUUGGUAAUGUAAAAUGGAAUGGCUUUUUUCUUUGGCAUAUCAUAUUGUUUUCAAAUGUUGUUGCCACAGAUGCCUUCCAAGACUCGAGCUCAGGACGGAGCUGGUACCUCUCGGGGAGGGGAAUCUACACCCAAUCCACCUCCUGUUCCUCCAACAUUGGCUGAGGCAAUUGCUGCCUUAGUGAACGCAACUGCCGACAAUACCCGCUUUCUGAGAGAAAUGGCGGGCCAACAGUUCCAGCAGCCUGGUGGGCGGGGCUAUCAACAGGGCCCCCGCGAAACUUCUUAUCUAGACUUCUCGGAAACCCGUCCGCCACUAUUUGUGAAAGCUGAAGAUCCGCUGGAAGCCGAUGAAUGGAUACGGGUUAUUGAGCAGAAAUUUGGUCUUCUGCUCUGUUUAGAGACACAGAAGCCUUUAUUUGCAGCGCAACAACUAUGCGGACCUGCCAGUACUUGGUGGGGUAAUUUUGUGGCCGUUCAGCCGGCCAAUCAUCAAGUAACCUGGGAGGAAUUCAAAGUGGCAUUCCGUGAGCAUUAUAUACCCGAAGGCGUUCUGCAUAUGAAGCAAGAAGAGUUCAUGAAGCUAAAACAAGGAGGAGAUACUGUCAAUCAGUAUCUCAACAAGUUCAAUCAUCUAUCACAAUAUGCAAUCGAUCAGGUGAACACUGAUCUGAAAAAGAGAAACUGCUUCAUGAGAGGAUUAAACGAUCGAUUGCAGAGAAAAAUGGUCGCCUGCAUAGAUCUCACGUAUGGAAAGGCUGUCAGUACAGCCCUAUCUGUUGAAGCAAAAUAUGCAGGUUCCGGAAAGAAUAAGGGAUUUGGUGGUGAGAAGACUAAUUAGGGCCAGGCAAAAAGGCAACGGUUUAUUCUCCGGCCUUCUAACCAGACUCCUCCACGUGCACCAACCUUCCCUUUCAAGCAGCCGAUAAUUAUUCGUCCCAAUAAAGCCCCCACUGCCCCAAGUCAGCCGGGUGCCCCAGGCACUCGAUUCCCUGCUUUGUCCAGCUCUUCAACCGAAUGUUUUAACUGUGGCAAGUCUGGACAUUUCAUCAAGGAUUGCCCAUAUCCUAAGCAGAAUCAAGCAAAUAAUCAGCAAGGAUCGGGGAAUUCCUCACAAAGCAAGGGAAAUGUUAAGGGCAAAAACUUCAAGAAGACGGGACGGAUAUACUAUACUCAAGUGGCCACUACACCGGAAGGAGAACCGGUGAUGAUGGGUACGUUUCUCGUGGCCAGUUACCCUGCAAUUAUUCUUUUUGAUUAUGGUGCUUCGCAUACGUUUAUUAGCAAGAAGUUUGUGGAGCAACAUCACAUUGCAUGCCAUGAAUCAAAAGAGGGAUUUAAAAUACACUCACCUGGGGGACAAAUCUUUACUAGAGAAGUGGCCUAUCAAGUGCCCGUAUCAUUGGCCGGAUGAGACUUUCCUACCAAUAUGAUCGUCCUGAAAGGCCAAGACAUAGAUGUUAUUUUGGGUAUGAAUUGGUUGGCCAAGCAUAAAGCAACACUCAAUACUGAUCAAAGAACCAUCAGGUUGAGCCAUAAUCAAGAAGAAAUUCUUUUGCCCAUCCCUAUUCCAAACAAAACCACUGGCAGAGUUUAUGAAGUCAUGAUACCAGAAAUCAAGGAUAUCCCGGUAGUGUGCGAGUUCCCUGAUGUCUUUCCCGAGGAUUUGCCAGGAUUGCCACCUGAACGGGAUGUAGAGUUUGUAAUAGAGUUGAAGCCCGGUACGGCUUCCAUUUCUCGAAGAUCGUACCGUAUGCCUCCUAAUGAGUUGGCAGAAUUGAAGAUUCAAUUGCAAGAUCUCCUGGAGAAAGGAUUUAUCCGGCCAAGCUCGUCGUCGUGAGGUUGCCCAGCCAUAUUCGUCAAAAAGAAGGAUCAAACCUUACGAAUGUGUGUGGAUUAUCGACCCUUGAAUGAGGUCACCAUAAAAAACAAGUACCCUCUUCCAAGGAUUGACAUUCUAUUUGAUCAAUUGACUGGAGCUAGGGUAUUUUCAAAGAUUGAUCUCCGAUCGGGCUAUCACCAGAUCCGUAUUCGGCCCAAAGAUAUACCAAAGACCGCGUUCACUACGCGAUAUGGGUUAUUUGAAUAUCUGGUAAUGUCUUUCGGAUUAACAAAUGCUCCGGCCCACUUCACAUAUUUGAUGAACUCGGUAUUUAUGGCCGAGCUAGACAAGUUUGUGGUGGUCUUCAUUGAUGACAUUUUGAUAUAUUCCAAGAAUGAAUAGGAGCACGCCCAACAUUUACGGAUCGUGUUAACGCGCCUGAGGGAACAUCAGUUGUAUGCCAAGUUCAGCAAAUGCGCGUUUUGGCUGGAGGAAAUUCAAUUUCUGGGACAUGUACUGUCUGCCAGAGGGAUUGCGGUAGACCCCAGAAAAGUCAAGGACAUUUUGGAGUGGAAACCCCCGACCACUGUUCAUCAGGUCCGAAGUUUCCUUGGACUGGCUGGAUAUUACCGUAGAUUUAUACCAGGCUUUUCUAAGCUUGUGAAGCCAAUCACAAGUUUAUUGAAGAAUGAUGUUAAGUUCAAUUGGUCUUCGAAGUGUGAUGAAGCCUUUGAACAAUUGAAGACAUUGUUAACCACUGCUCCGGUAUUGGCUCAACCGGACAUCACCAAGCCUUUUGAUGUAUAUUGUGAUGCAUCUGGCAGUGGACUCGGCUGUGUACUAAUGCAAGAGGGCCAAGUAAUUGCGUAUGCUUCACGGCAGUUGCGCCGACAUGAGGAGCAUUACCCAACUCAUGAUCUGGAGCUAGCUGUUGUGGUCCAUGCCCUGAAAAUUUGGCGUCACUAUCUGCUGGGAAAUGUCUGUCAUAUCUAUAUAGAUCAUAAAAGCUUGAAGUAUAUCUUCACCCAGUCAGAAUUAAAUAUGAGGCAGAGACGAUGGCUUGAGCUUAUUAAGGACUAUGAACUGGAAAUUCAUUAUCACCCAGGCAAAGCCAAUGUUGUGGCAGAUGCACUAAGCCGCAAGGUUUCCUGCCAUUGUUUAACGAUGAAGACCUCCGAGAACACUUUAUGUCAAGAGAUGGAGAAGCUAAACCUGGGAAAGGUCCAACAAGGAACUUUUAAUCAGCUAAAGCUUGAGUCAGUCCUUUUGCAAAGGAUAAUUGAUGCCCAAAAGGAUAAUGAGGGCAUGAAACACAUUCAUGAGAAAUUAAGGGCUGGAAAAGCCAAAUGUUUCAAAGAAGAUAAUCAAGGCAUUGUAUGGUUUAAUAAUCGCAUAGUGGUGCCAAAGAAUGAAGAGCUCCACCAGCAAAUUCUUGAUGAAGCACAUCUUAGCCGCUAUUCUAUUCAUCCCGGAAGCACUAAGAUGUACCAAGACUUGAAGCAACAUUACUGGUGGACAAAGAUGAAGAUCGAAAUUGCACGCUAUGUGGCGAGAUGUGACACCUGCAGACGUGUCAAGGCCAUACAUUUGAAAGCUGCUGGUCCAUUGCAGUCACUACCAAUACCAACAUGGAAAUGGGAAGACAUCAGUAUGGACUUUAUCGUGGGAUUGCCCAGGACCGCAAAAGGAUAUGACUCUAUUUGGGUGAUUGUUGAUCGACUUACAAAGAUUGCUCACUUUCUGCCGGUCAAGACAUAUUACCCGGUACUUACCUAUGCCGAGUUGUACAUUGCCCGCAUUCUCAGUUUGCAUGGUGUUCCGAAGACUAUAGUGUCGGAUCGUGGACCACAAUUUGUAUCCAAAUUCUGGGAAGAACUCCAUAAAUCCCUAGGUACCAAGCUGCUCCACAGUUCGGCCUACCAUCCUCAAACUAGUGGACAAACUGAGAGAGUGAACCAGAUACUUGAAGAUAUGCUGCGGGCAUGUGUUCUGGACUUCUCACAGAAAUGGGAUGAAUGUUUGCCCUUGGCGGAGUUUUCAUAUAAUAAUAUCUAUCAAGAAAGUAUCAAGAUGGCACCCUUCGAAGCUUUAUAUGGACGACGAUGUCGUACUCCGCUAAAUUGGUCUGAACCUGGGGAAAGGUGCUUCUUUAGGCCUGAUAUGGUAAAGGAGGCCGAGGAUAAGGUUCAGAAAAUUAUUCAUAAUAUAAAGAAAGCACAAGCUCGUCAGAAGAGUUAUGCAGACAAACGGCGAAUGCCCUUAUAUUUCCUGGAAGGAGACUAUGUCUACCUGAAGGUCUCACCAAUGAAGGGAGUAUCGCGUUUUGGGGUUAAAGGGAAGCUUGCACCACGAUAUAUUGGUCCUUUUCUUAUUCUGGAAAGAUAUCGGCCAGUGGCAUACCGACUCCAACUACCCGAAACAUUGUCUGCUGUGCAUAAUGUGUUUCACGUGUCACAAUUGAAGAAGUGUCUUCGGGUUCCUGAUUGAACCGUUGAAGUGACAGAUGUUGUCCUUGAACCGGACUUGACAUACUCUGAACACCCUAUUCGAGUCUUGGAUCAAAAGGACAGGGUUACCUGGAGAAAAACUCUCAAGUUCUAUAAGAUACAGUGGAAUCAGCAUUCCGAGGAUGAGGCUACAUGGGAAACUCAAGACUUUUUAGAUAAGAAUUUCCCAGGCUUUUUAGCCUCUUGUAAAUUGUAAAGCCUGUAUAACGGUGUAAUAAAGAAAUGACCCCCACAUCACCCCUGCCUUGUACCAGAAAUAAGGAAAUAAAAGUAUGUCGCGUUUCCUUUUCCAUUACUUACCCUAGGACUUUUAAUCUCGGGACGAGAUUCUUUUAUGGGGGGAAGGAUGUAACACCCCUGGUGUUACUGUAACUAAAACUUGAGCAUGACAUCAUAAGCAUUGGCAUUGCAUAUGUUUGACACACCUAGAGUGCAUUCACUAGGCAAAAAUUUCAAACAAGUUGUAUUGUUUAAGUGUUUUUGCAAAUAGAACCCUGGAUAGGAAACUUAACCCUAAAUAGGGAUUAAAGGGGGUAAGACCUAACCCAAAUUGAGAAAACCUAAAGGCUUUAGGGAAAUAGUUAUAAAAUAUCCCCAAAAAUGAAGUUGAAUCACAUUUAUACCCCUGGGAUGCCAAGAACCCUAAUUGGAACCGUGGAAAACCCUAAAACCAAACCCUAGGGGCUUAUGUGCAAAAUUAGUCCACUUUUGGACUAAAGUGCAAAAACCAAGUCAAAUAAGUAUCUCAAGUCCUUUGGUUCCCAAAUGUGUGGACUUGUAAGCCAAAUAUUGAGUUUUGGACUUAAAUGCAAAAUGGACCUCAAGUAGGUUCUAUUCUAAGUCUGAAAUUCAGUGUUGAGGGCUCAACUUUGGAGCAUUGUAUCUUGCAAAUUCUAGGGUUUUUGCCCUAGGUCACCACAUCAAAAUUAUAGCCCAAUUAUAGGAGCAUAACUUUCCUUAAGAGUGUGAGCAGAGUUGUUAAGAAAAUAUUGGAGAUAAUUAAGCCUAAAGAUUGGCUGUCAGGCUGAUUCAGUCUGAAAUUCAGAUAUUCAGUGUAGCAGAGCCAACUUUGAGUAUGAAUUCAACCUUGAUUUAGUACUCAAAUGUGUUCAAGUCCUAUAGUCGAAUUGUAGCUGGUUUGUAACUCUGCAACUUUGGUACAGAGGUUUGAUGAAGUUCACAUGCAAAUUUUAGAGAAAAUGUGACCUAAACAUGGGCUGUCAGGCAACUGAAUGGGGGGAUCGUCAUGGUACAGUAGCUCGAAUGGAUCAGGACGCCAACGCAGCCACCUUACCGCCGGCGACCGAUUGCCGCCGUAAUUCGUGCGACCGCCGGUCCACUUUGUGCUCUAGAUAGUUGGAUAGCGUCGCGGGGUUAAAAAUCUUCGCCGCCGGUGAGCUGGACACCACUCCGGCUAGCCGCAGUUCAUCUCCCCUAGCUCACCGCCCGCGGGUAAAGUUGGUCACCGUCGUCGUGCCGUCCCCGUCGUCCACCGCGUGUCCUAACCGCGCCAUCGUGUCGCCGUGACUCCCUACCACUGUCCUGUCAACGCCGGUGAGCUUGUCACGGCGUUAGCCACGAAUUCACCGCGCCACCUUCUUCCCCAUCUCCGACUGCCAGCGUUACUCGACCAAAUUGGCCACCACCGCUUGAGGGCUCUAUAAAUUGACCUCGCCCGUAGCUGCGCCAUGUCGUCGUGAAGCUGUAGCACCCGCUCCCACCCUCGAUCGUCCACCAGCACGCGCGAAUUUCCAAUUCCCCCCAAAUCAAGUUUCCGCCACCGCAAGGAACUGCUCACCGCGGCCAGCCCCAUUCCGGUCAGUUCAGCCUCCCCUUACCCUCGUUUGAGUUUCCUUAUAACUCCACGAUGCUUGCUGACCCACGUAAUUGCGCUAAGAACCCUUUGGUCACCGGGAACACGCUCAUCUGUCCGCCACCCAUUCGGUUCACGCGGACAGAGCUUGAUAGCUCACCAACUAUGCAAUUAACUUGGGGGAAAUGUUUAGGGUAGGUCAGAUUUGGUGUCCGCCACUCGGGAGCACCGGUCCUGACUCCCUCCGGCUAGUCCAGCUCGCCGGAGCUUGGCCCCCGGUUCGGUGCGCCGUCGGGGACCUCAUCGUGCAAAGAAAUAGAACUAUAGGGGUCUUUCUGCAAUGGUCAGCGACUCAUUCAAAUAGUGCCAUGACCCCGCUUCCAGUUAUCCAGUUAGCUGAGGGCUUUUCCGCAAAGUUCCCCUCGCGGACGCGCGCGCGGGCGUUUUCCCCUCUGGACUAGGCCGACUGGGCUGAAACCAGCCCAUUACUGUUGAAGCCUUUUCCUUUUUCUUUUUCAGCAGAGCUUUGGAAAUCUGUUAAAAAUUGUAGAAAAAUCCUAAAAUUGUGAAACCAAUUUUUCUAGGCUUGUUAUUUCCCUAGAAUUUAAUAAAAAUAGUUUUAUGAUUUUUAGAGGAAAUAAGAAAUUUUGAGGUAUUUUAAGUAGUUUAAAGAAAUAGUUCUGGAUUUUUAGAAAAUAGAUAAUAAGUCCAAAAAUGCCCAAACUUUUUAUAUGAACUUAAAACAUUAUUUAGAAGCCUUGGGUAGAGUUUGAAUUGAUUUGGACCAUGUUUGAUAACUAGAACCCAAAACCCCCCUGCCUUUUGAACUCCUUUACCGACUCCGGAAACCCUAAGUUCUCGGAGUUCCGUGAAGGAAAGUUAUAUUCAAGACUUAGAUAAUAAAUCUUUAUUAUCUUCGCACUCUCAUGCGCAUUACAUGGCAUUCAUUCUUAUAUAUGUAUAUAUAUGGUUAUAUUAGAACGCGAAGAAGAAGUGGAAGUCACCGAAGAAAGGACACCACCACCCUCGGAUUCUCAAGCAGGCAACUGCUUCUACUUUGAUAUUUGUGGAUCCGAGCCAGACUCACCUGUGAACGAAGGCAAGCCCCGGUGCAUUUGCCACCUCCCUUGAUGUUUUUAAAAUCUUUCUCACUUGCUUGCUGCAUUAUGUGAUAGGAGUUGCUUGAUAAAACAAUUCUUGCAUUACCUUCCUUGAACUUGAUUACCUUCCUUGAAACCCUGUUUUUACAAAAAGGUUUUACUAUGCUUAGUAUUGCUUUAGAAAAACAAAAGGAUUUGUUUUACAAAAGAUGUUUGGCAAAGUGGGAGGGUUGUUUUCGAAAAUAAAACUUGAUGGUGAAUCCAUCAUGGCCAUGAUGGAUUCAACAUCGGAAAAGAUGUACCUCUGCCAGGUACCAAGUUUUUGGGUUGAAAUGAUUAAGCUGAGACCGGGCGGGUGACUUGCACGAGAAGAGAGUCUCGGUGUAGUGUCUCCGUCUGAGUCGAUUAAGGACCGUCUCGAUGUAGGCUUGAUGAUCGAGGACCCUUUAACUGGUCACAUGCCUCGUCAUGGGUAAGCCUUGCCUCGGGCAGACUAAGGCUAGAAUAAGAUAACACGAAAUGGGCGUGGAGCGGUGGCGAGAGUAGCGUGUACCCUCCGUGGCAAGAGGCUGGACGGUGGUGUAUCUGUGCUCUCGGUUUGCGUGAACCUGAUCUGGUCUUAAGAAACCCGUGGCGGGUUGACAUAUGCAAGGGUUAAGUGCUACAUAUGUCGUGUGAUUGGAGAUCCGCAGCUGAGUAUAAUCGAUUCGGAUCGCCGUACCUUCGCGGUUAUGAAGACUUGGUCACUGACCUACACGUAGCAUUCCACUAAAGAUGAUGGGUUUUUGUUAAGAAAUUGGCUAGUGCAGGACCAGUGAUUGAACUAGGGUAGAAAGAACUCUAGUUGCAGGUAAUUGUACUUAACUUGACAAAUAAAUUUGGAUUUUUAAGGAUCCACUUCAGUAAGCAUUUCUGCAAAACAGAGUCUUUGAUUAUUGAAAAGCCUUACCUUGACUCCCUUAAGCCAGCAUACCCUUGAGAGUCUUUUCUUUAAUCGGGUAAGACUUGCUGAGUAAUUCCAUACUUAGGGUUUAUCCCUUCGUUGUUUUUUUUAGGUGAGGAAGUAGCAGAUUUCUGUUGCUUCUGUGCCAAGGUGGUUCCUAAGGAGGAGAAACAAGAGUGAAGAUGCAGGAGGACUUGGUCCUCCAUAUAGAACUUUUUCUUAAAACUUAUCGGGAGGAGUUUGUGCCUCCCUUGGUAUGUGUAAUAAUACUACUCAGCACUCGCUUUUAAUUCUGGUCUGUAAUAAACAACUCAAUCUUACUUUUUAAAUAAAUGUAAGUUAUGUAAUCGCUUCCGCAUUUCUUUAUCUCCGAUGUUCUGUAAUGUCUGCAAGACGGGUGAGACGUUCCUGGAAAGGUAAGGAAAGAUACCGAACUUGUCAAGUAGUUCAGGGGCACCUACAGGGUUGUCUGAGGUCCGUUGGACAAGGACAACUGUAGGUGGGCCUAAUUACUUGGGAGGUUCCAUCUCACUUCACACCUUCGGGAAUUCUCAGAGGCGCUUCGCUAUAAUUUACCGGACUGUCCAGUGCACCACCGGACAGUGUCCGGUGCUCCAGGGGAGAGCGACUCUGAACUCGCCAGCUUCGGAUUUCCGCUCCGCUAUAAUUCACCGGACAUGUCCGGUAAGCCAGCGGAGCAACGACUAUUCCGCGCCAACGGUCACCUGCUACAGCAUUAAAUGCGCGCCAGCGCGCGCAGAGGAGCAGAGCACGAGCGGGUGGCACACCGGACAGCCUACAGGGCGUGUCCGGUGCACCACCGGACAGCCAGGCGGGCCCACUCGUCAGAGCUCCAACGGUCGAACCCUAACGGCCGGGUGACGUGGCUGGCGCACCGGACACUGUCCGGUGCGCCCGUCGACAGUAGCCUUCACCAAACGGCUAGUUUGGUGGUUGGGGUUAUAAAUACCCCCAACCACCCCACAUUCAAGUCAUCCAAGUUUCCACCCUUCAACUACUUGCAAGAGCUCUAGCAUUCAAUACAAGACACACCAAAGAGAUCAAAUCCUCUCCCAACUCCACACAAAGCGUUAGUGAUUAGAGAGAGUGAUUUGUCGUGUUCAUUUGAGCUCUUGCGCUUGGAUCGCUUCUUUUCUUUCUCAUUCUUUCUUGAGAUCAAACUCACUUGUAAUUGAGGCAAGAGACACCAAUUGUGUGGUGGUCCUUGCGGGAACUUCGUGUUACCAUUUGUUUGAGAAGAAGAAGCUCACUCGGUCCGAGGGACCGUUUGAGAGAGGGAAAGGGUUGAAAGAGACCCAGUCUUUGUGACCACCUCAACGGGGAGUAGGUUUGCAAGAACUGAACCUCGGUAAAACAAAUUCGUGUGUCACACUCUUUAUUCGCUUGCGAUUUGUUUUGCGCCCUCUCUCGGACUCAUUAUUAUUUCUAACGCUAACCCGGCUUGUAGUUGUGAUUAACUUUGUAAAUUUUAGUUUCGCCCUAUUCACCCCCCUUUAGGCGACUUUCAAUUGGUAUCGGAGCCCGGUGCUUCAUUAGAGCCUAACCGCUCGAAGUGAUGUCGGGAGAUCACACCAAGAGGGAGAUGGAGACCGGCGACAAGCCCACCGGCGACAAGCCCACUACAAGCCACGGGAAGGCUUCAUCGGAAGAGUCCCGCAACAAAGGGAAAGGGAAGGAGAAGAAAUCCUCUUCCCACAAGACGCAUCGGAGUGGCGACAAGAAAAAGAAGAUGAGGAAGGUGGUCUACUACGAGACUGAUACUUCAUCACCUUCCACCUCCGGCUCCGACGCGCCGUCCAUUACUUCUAAGCGCCAUGAGCGCAAGAAGUUUAGUAAGAUCCCCUUACGCUAUCCUCGCAUUACCAAACAUACGCCUUUACUUUCCGUCUCAUUAGGCAAACCACCAACGUUUGAUGAUGAAUAUUAUGCUAGGUGGAGUGAUUUAAUGCGAUUUCACCUAAUCUCACUCCACAAAAGUAUAUGGGACGUUGUUGAGUUUGGUGUACAGGUACCAUCCGUAGGGGAUGAAGAUUAUGAUGAGGACGAUGUGGCCCAAAUCCAACACUUCAACUCCCAAGCCUCAACUAUACUCCUCGCCUCUCUAAGUCGAGAGGAGUAUAAUAAGGUGCAAGGGUUGAAAGGUGCCAAGGAGAUUUGGGACACGCUAAAGACCGCGCACGAAGGAGACGAGGUGACCAAGAUCACCAAGCGGGAGAUGAUCGAGGGGGAGCUCGGUCGCUUCCGACUACGCCAAGGGGAGGAGCCAUAAGACAUGUACAACCGGCUCAAAACCUUGGUGAACCAAGUGCGCAACCUCGGGAGCAAAAAAUGGGAUGACCACGAAAUGGUUAAGGUUAUUCUAAGAUCACUUGUUUUCCUUAACCCUACUCAAGUUCAAUUAAUUCAUGGUAAUCCUAGAUAUACACUAAUGACCCACGAGGAAGUAAUCGGGAACUUUGUGAGCUUUGAAUUAAUGAUCAAAGGCUCAAAGAAGAUCAACGAGCUUGAUGGCCCCUCCACUUCCGAAGCACAACCAGUCGCAUUCAAGGCGACGGAAGAAAAGAAGGAGGAACCUACUCCAAGUCGAACUCCCAUCGAUGCCUCCAAGCUCGACAAUGAGGAGAUGGCGCUCAUCAUCAAGAGCUUCCGUCAAAUCCUAAAGCAAAGGAGGGGGAAGGAUUACAAGCCCCGCUCCAAGAAGGUUUGCUACAAGUGUGGUAAGCCCAGUCAUUUUAUUGCAAAAUGUCCUAUUUCUAGUGAUAGUGACAGGGGCGACGACAAGAAGGGGAGAAGAAAGGAGAAGAAGUAUUACAAGAAGAAGGGCGGCGAUGCCCAUGUUUGCCGGGAGUGGGACUCCGACGAGAGCUCCACCGACUCCUCCUCCGACGAGGACGCCGCCAACAUCGCCGUCACCAAGGGACUUCUCUUCCCCAACGUCGACCACAAGUGCCUCAUGGCAAAGGACGACAAAAAGAAAAAGGUAAAAUCAAGAUCCUCCACUAAAUAUGAAAUCUCUAGUGAUGAGGAUGAUGCUAGCAAUGAGGAGGAUAACUUGCGCAUUCUUUUUGCUAACCUAAACAUGCAACAAAAAGAAAAAUUAAAUGAAUUGAUAAGUGCUAUUCAUGAGAAGGAUGAUCUCUUGGACUCUCAAGAGGACUUCCUUAUUAAAGAAAACAAGAAGCAUGUUAAGGUUAAAAAUGCUUAUACACUAGAAGUAGAAAAAUGUGAAAAAUUAUCUAGUGAACUAAGCACUUGCCAUGAGACUAUUGACAACCUUAGAAAUGAGAAUGCUAAUUUGUUAGCUAAGGUUGAUUCAAAUGUUUGUGAUGUUUCAAUUCCCAAUCCUAGAAAUGAUAAUAUAGAUUUGCUUGCUAAGAUUGAAGAAUUGAACAUUUCUCUUGCUAGCCUUAGAAAUGAAAAUGAAAACUUGAUUGCUAAGGCUAAGGAUUUAGAUGUUUGCAAUGUCACUAUUUCUAACCUUAGAAGUGAAAAUGAUAUAUUACAUGCUAAGGUUGUAGAACUAAAAUCUUGCAAACCCUCUACAUCUACCGUUGAACAUACUUCUAUUUGCACUAGAUGUAGAGAUGUUGAUAUUGAUGCUAUUCAUGAUCAUAUGACUUUAAUUAAACAACAAAAUGAUCAUAUAGAAAAUUAGAUGCUAAAAUUGCCGAGCAUGAACUUGAAAAUGAAAAGUUUAAAUUUGCUCGUAGUAUGCUUUAUAGUGGGAGACGCCCUGGCAUCAAGGAUGGCGUUGGCUUCCAAAAGGGGGACAAUGUCAAACUUAAUGCCCCUCCUAAAAGAUUGUCUAAUUUUGUUAAGGGCAAGGCUCCCAUGCCUCAGGAUAACGAGGGUUACAUUUUGUACCCUGCCGGUUAUCCCGAGAGCAAGAUUAGGAGAAUUCAUUCUAGGAAGUCUCACUCUGGCCCUAACCAUGCUUUUAUGUAUAAAGGUGAGACAUCUAGUUCUAGGCAACCAACCCAUGCUAAGUUGCCUAAGAAGAAAACUCCUAGUGCAUCAAAUGAUGAUGACAUUUCAUUUAAAACCUUUGAUGCAUCUUAUGUUUUAACUAACAAAUCCGGCAAGGUAGUUGCCAAGUAUGUUGGGGGCAAGCACAAGGGGUCAAAGACUUGUGUUUGGGUACCCAAAGUUCUUGUGUCUAAUGCCAAAGGACCCAAAACCAUUUGGGUACCUAAAGUCAAGAACUAAACUUGUUUUGUAGGUUUAUGCAUCCGGGGGCUCAAGUUGGAUCAUCGACAGUGGGUGCACAAACCACAUGACAGGGGAGAAGAAGAUGUUCUCCUCCUAUGAGAAAAACCAAGAUCCCCAACGAGCUAUCACAUUCGGGGAUGGAAAUCAAGGGUUGGUCAAAGGUUUGGGUAAAAUUGCUAUAUCACCUGACCAUUCCAUUUCUAAUGUUUUUCUUGUGGAUUCUUUAGAUUAUAAUUUGCUUUCCGUAUCUCAAUUAUGUCAAAUGGGCUACAACUGUCUUUUUACUGAUGUAGGUGUCACUGUCUUUAGAAGAAGUGAUGAUUCAAUAGCAUUUAAGGGAGUGUUAGAGGGUCAGCUAUACUUGGUAGAUUUUGAUAGAGCUGAACUCGACACUUGCUUAAUUGCUAAGACUAACAUGGGUUGGCUCUGGCACCGCCGACUAGCCCAUGUUGGGAUGAAGAAUCUUCACAAGCUUCUAAAGGGAGAGCACAUUUUAGGAUUAACAAAUGUUCAUUUUGAGAAAGACAGGAUUUGUAGCGCAUGCCAAGCAGGGAAGCAAGUUGGUACUCAUCAUCCACAUAAGAACAUCAUGACGACCGACAGGCCACUGGAACUCCUACACAUGGAUUUAUUCGGCCCGAUCGCUUACAUAAGCAUCGGAGGGAGUAAGUAUUGUCUAGUUAUUGUGGAUGACUAUUCUCGCUUCACUUGGGUGUUCUUUUUGCAGGAAAAAUCUCAUACCCAAGAGACUUUAAAAGGAUUCUUGAGACGGGCUCAAAAUGAGUUCGGCUUAAUGAUCAAGAAAAUUAGAAGCGACAACGGGACGGAGUUCAAAAACUCUCAAUUGAAGGCUUACUUGAGGAGGAGGGCAUCAAGCAUGAGUUCUCUUCUCCCUACACCCCACAACAAAAUGGUGUAGUGGAGAGGAAGAAUAGAACUCUAUUGGACAUGGCAAGAACCAUGCUUGAUGAGUACAAGACUUCGGAUCGGUUUUGGGCCGAAGCGGUCAACACCGCCUGCUACGCCAUCAACCGGUUGUAUCUACACCGAAUCCUCAAGAAGACAUCAUACGAACUCAUAACCGGUAAAAAGCCCAAUAUUUCAUAUUUUAGAGUCUUUGGUAGCAAAUGCUUUAUUCUUGUUAAAAGAGGUAGAAAAUCUAAAUUUGCUCCUAAGACUGUAGAAGGCUUUUUACUAGGAUAUGAUUCAAACACAAGGGCAUAUAGAGUCUUUAACAAGUCCUCGGGACUAGUUGAAGUUUCUUGUGACGUUGUGUUUGAUGAAACUAAUGGCUCUCAAGUAGAGCAAGUUGAUCUUGAUGAGAUAGGUGAUGAAGAGGCUCCAUGCAUCGCGCUAAGGAACAUGUCCAUUGGGGAUGUGUGUCCUAAGGAAUCCGAAGAGCCUCCUAAUGCACAAGAUCAAUCAUCCUCCUCCACGCUAGCAUCUCCACCAACUCAAAAUGAGGAUGAGGCUCAAGAUGAUGAAGGAAAAGAUCAAAGAGAUGAGCCACCUCAAGAUGACGGCAAUCAUCAAGGGGGAGAUGCAAAGGAUCAAGACAAGGAGGAUGAAGAACCAAGGCCGCCACACCUAAGAGUCUACCAAGCAAUCUAACGAGAUCACCCCGUCGACACCAUCCUCGGCGACAUUCAUAAGGGGGUAACCACUAGAUCUCGUGUUGCUCAUUUUUGUGAACAUUACUCUUUUGUUUCCUCUAUUGAGCCACACAGGGUAGAGGAAGCACUACAAGAUUCGGAUUGGGUGGUGGCGAUGCAAGAGGAGCUCAACAACUUCACUAGGAACGAGGUAUGACAUUUAGUUCCACGUCCUAAUCAAAAUGUUGUAGGAACCAAAUGGGUCUUCCGCAAUAAGCAAGACGAGAAUGGUGUGGUGACAAGGAACAAAGCCCGACUUGUGGCCAAGGGAUACUCCCAAGUCGAAGGUUUGGAUUUCGGUGAAACCUAUGCACCCGUAGCUAGGCUUGAGUCAAUUCGUAUAUUGUUAACCUAUGCUACUUACCAUGGCUUUAAGCUUUAUCAAAUGGACGUGAAAAGUGCCUUCCUCAAUGGACCAAUUAAGGAAGAGGUCUAUGUUGAGCAACCUCCCGGCUUUGAAGAUAGUAAGUAUCCUAACCAUGUCUACAAACUCUCUAAGGCGCUUUAUGGGCUCAAGCAAGCCCCAAGAGCAUGGUAUGAAUGCCUAAGAGAUUUCCUUAUUGCUAAUGGCUUCAAAGUCGGAAAAGUCGAUCCUACUUUAUUUACUAAAACUCUUGACAAUGAUUUGUUUGUAUGCCAAAUUUAUGUUGACGAUAUUAUAUUUGGGUCUACUAACGAAUCUACAUGUGAAGAAUUUAGUAGGAUCAUGACACAAAAAUUCGAGAUGUCUAUGAUGGGGGAGUUGAAGUAUUUCUUAGGAUUUCAAGUGAGACAACUCCAAGAGGGCACCUUCAUAAGCCAAACAAAGUAUACUCAAGACAUUCUAAACAAGUUUGGGAUGAAGGAUGCCAAGCCCAUCAAGACACCCAUGGGAACAAAUGGGCAUCUCGACCUCGACACGGAAGGUAAACCCGUAGAUCAAAAGGUAUACCGGUCGAUGAUAGGUUCACUACUCUAUUUAUGUGCAUCUCGACCGGACAUUAUGCUUUCCGUAUGCAUGUGUGCAAGAUUCCAAGCCGACCCUAAGGAAGCUCACCUUACGGCCGUAAAACGAAUCUUGAGAUAUUUGGCUUAUACUCCUAAGUUUGGGCUUUGGUAUCCUAGGGGAUCCACUUUUGAUUUAAUUGGUUAUUCGGAUGCCGAUUGGGCGGGUUGUAAGAUUAAUAGAAAGAGCACAUCGGGGACUUGCCAGUUCUUGGGAAGAUCCUUGGUGUCUUGGGCUUUAAAGAAGCAAAAUUUUGUAGCUCUUUCUACCGCCGAAGCCGAGUAUAUUGCCGCAGGCCAUUGUUGCGCGCAACUACUUUGGAUGAGGCAAACCCUUAGGGACUACGGUUACAAAUUAACCAAAGUUCCUCUUCUAUGUGAUAAUGAGAGUGCAAUCCGCAUGGCGGAUAAUCCCGUAGAGCAUAGCCGCACUAAACACAUAGCUAUUCGGUAUCAUUUUCUAAGGGAUCACCAACAAAAGGGAGAUAUCGAGAUUGCUUACAUUAACACUAAAGAUCAAUUAGCCGAUAUCUUUACCAAGCCACUAGAUGAACAAACCUUUAACAAACUUAGGCAUGAGCUAAAUAUUCUUGAUUCUAGGAUUUUCUUUUGAUGUCUUGCAUACAUAGCUCAUAAAUAUACCUUUGAUCAUAUCUCUUUUAUAUGCUAUGACUAAUGUGUUUUCAAGUAUACUUCAAACCAAGUCAUAGGUGUAUUAAAAGGGAAUUGGAGUCUUCGGCGAAGACAAAGGCUUCCACUCCACUCCAUAACUCAUCCUUCGCUGUCGCUCCGAGCAUCUCUCCAACUUUGGUAUAAUCUUCACUCAUAUUUUGUUUGCCAAAGGGGGAGAAAGUAAUUCAAAGGGCUCUAAUGACUCUGUUUUUGGCAAUUUAUGCCAAAGGGGGAGAGAGUAUUAGCCCACAGCAAAAGGACCGCACCACCACCCUAAUUUUAAAAAUUAAUGAUUUUCAAUUGGUAAAUUUCAAAUUGGUAUCUUAUUAUGUUCAAAAGGGGGAGAAAGUAGUAUUUUCAAAAUUGAUAUCUUAAAACCCUCUUGAACACUAAGAGGAGAAUUUCAUUGAGAGGGAGUUUUGUUUAAGUCAAAGGAAAAGCAUUUGAAACAGGGGGAGAAAAUUUCAAAUCUUGAAAAUGCUUCGCAAAAUCUAAUUCAUUUACCUUUGACUAUUUGCAUAAGGACUUUAAAAAGGAUUUACAAAAGGAAUUUGCAAAAAAAACCUGUGGUGCAAGCGUGGUCCAAAAUGUUAAAAAUAAAGAAACAAUCCAUGCAUAUCUUAUGAGUAGUUAUAUUGGCUCAAUUCUAAGUAACCUUUGCACUUACAAUUAUGCGAACUAGUUCAAUUAUGCACUUCUAUAUUUGCUUUGGUUUGUGUUGGCAUCAAUCACCAAAAAGGGGGAGAUUGAAAGGGAAUUAGGCUUACACCUAUUUCCUAAAUGAUUUUGGUGGUUGAAUUGCCCAACACAAAUAAUUGGACUAACUAGUUUGCUCUAGUCCAUAAGUUCUACAGGUGCCAAAGGUUCACAAAAAGCCAAUAAAAAGACCAAGAAAAGGGUUCAAUAAAAAGAGCAAGGAAUAACCGAAGUGUACCCUGGUCUGGCACACCGGACUGUCCGGUGUGCCACCGGACAGUGUCCGGUGCACCAGGGGUGUCGGCGUUUCGAGACCGGGGGGGUCCCUGGGCCGACGAGUGAAAUGUCGCCGCGUGCCCCAGCCCAGAUGGGUCGGCGCGAGGCCGAACGCGAAGGGGGAAGAGAGGCAGCCGGAGACGGGCGUGAGAGAGGUGGAAAUCCCGCGGCCUUCGUGUUUGUCCCGCGCCCAGGUCGGGUGCGCUUGCAGUAGGGGGUUACAAGCGUCCACGCGGGAGGGGGAGCGAGCGGCCUCACGCGAGCGCCUGUCCCGUCCUCUUCCCUGCGCGGCCGACCCUCUGUAAGAGGGCCCUGGUCCUUCCUUUUAUAGGCGUAAGGAGAGGAUCCAGGUGUACAAUGGGGGGUGUAGCAGAGUGCUACGUGUCUAGCGGAGGAGAGCUAGCGCCCUAAGUACAUGUCGUCAUGGCAGCUGGAGAGGUUUUGGCACCCGGUUCGUGUGGUGUCGUGGCCGUCGGAGGAGCGCUGGAGCCUGGCGGAAGGACAGCUGUCGGGGCUGUCGAGUCCUUGCUGACGUCCUCUUGCUUCCGUAAGGGGGCUGAGAGUCGCCGUCGUCACAGAGCGUGCGGGGCGCCAUCAUUGCCUAUCUGGCGGAGCGAGCCAGAUGGGACACCGGUCUUGUUCCCCGUAGCCUGAGUCAGCUUGGGGUAGGGUAAUGAUGGCGCCUCCUGUCGACGUGGUCGGUCCGCGCCCUAGGUUGGGCAAUGUGGAGGCUCCUCCGAGGUCGAGGUCGAGUCUGUCUUCUGUGGCCGUGGUCGAGUCCGAGCCCCUGGGUCGGGCGAGGCGAAGACCGUCGGCUGAGGCCAGGGCUGAGUCCGAGCCCUGGGGUCGGGCGAAGCGGAGUUCGUCAUCUUCUGGGGCUGAGCCCAAGUCCGAGCCCUGGGUCGGGCGGAGCGGAGUUCGUCGUCUUCCGGGGCUGAGCCCGAGUUCGAGCCCUGGGUUGGGCGGAGCGGAGUUCGCCGUCUUCCGGGGCUGAGCCCGAGUCCGAGCCCUGGGUCGGGCGGAGCGGAGUUCGCCGUCUUCCGGGGCUGAGCCCGAGUCCGAGCCCUGGGUCGGGCGGAGCGGAGUUCGUCGUCUUCUGGGGCUGAGCCCGAGUCCGAGCCCUAGGUCGAGCGAAGCGGAGCUUCCUAUGGUGCCUGAGGUCGGGCCUGACUGCCUGUCAGCCUCACUCUGUCGAGCAGCACAGCAGUCGGAGCGGUGCAGGCGGCGCUGUCCUUCUGUCAGGCCGGUCAGUGGAGCGGCAAAGUGACUGCGGUCACUUCGGCUCUGUCGAAUGGAGGACGCGUGUCAGGAUAAAGGUGUUAGGCCACCUUUGCAUUAAAUGCUCCUGCGAUCUGGUCGGUUGGCGCGGCGAUUUGGUCAGGGUUGCUUCUUGGCGAAGACAGGGCCUCGGGCGAGCCGUAAGUAUGUUCGUCGCUGGAGGGGGGCCUCGGGCGAGACGGAGAUCCUCCGGGGUCGGCUGCCCUUGUCCGAGGCUAGGCUCGGGCGAGGCGUGAUCGGGUCCCUCGAAUGGACCGAUUCCUGACUUAAUCGCACCCAUCAGGCCUUUGCAGCUUUAUGCUGAUGGGGGUUGCCAGCUGAGAAUUAGGAGACUUGAGGGUACCCCUAAUUAUGGUCCCCGACAGUAGCCCCCGAGCCUCGAAGGGAGUGUUAGCACUCGCUUGGAGGCUUUCGUCGCACUUUUUUGCAAGGGGACCAGCCUUUCUCGGUUGCGUUUUGUUCCGGUGGGUGCCCCCGAGGCCUCGGAGGAGUGGUUUGACUCCUCUGAGGUCUUAAUGCCUCGCGUAGUGCUUCGGCUGGUCUGGUCAUUCCCUCAUGCGAGCUGGCCGUAGCCCGGGUGCACGGUCAGGUUCCAAGUUCUCGGGCUGGUAUGUUGACGCUGUCAACGGUUUGGCCGGAGCCGGGUUUGCGAGAGCAGCCCCUGAGCCUCUGCACAGGGCGAGAGGACGAUCAGGGACAGACUCGACUUUUUUACAUACGCCCCUGCGUCACCUUUCUGCAAGGAGGAGGGGGGGGAAAGCGCCAUGUUGCCCAAGGUGGGCACCGAACAUGGUGUCUCCGAUGAGCUGCUGGCGGGUAAUCCGAGCGGACGUCCGUGCCGCAUUUGUUAGGGGUCGGCUAGAGGCCCAGAGGCGCGCCCAAAAGUACCUACGGGUGAUCUGCCGGACCCGGUCCCCUGUCGACGGGGUCCGAGGGCUCGAUGCCUCCCUCUGAUGGGAUUCCGUUACAAGAUCGUUCCCGCUGGUCUCGGAAAUGUCCUAGGGUACCUCGGGAGCGUAGCCCGAGCCUUGGUUAUGUAUCGAACGUACCCAUGGUCAUCCCUCGCUCUGUGUCUGAGGCGGCUGUGAACCCUUCGAGGGCCAGCCUACGAACCCCUGAUCAGUAGUGGGCGCGGAGCCCGAGUGGCCUGAGGCAGCCAUUGAACCCUUCCGAGGGGCCGGCCUUCGAACCUCUGACCAGUAGUGGGUGUGGAGCCCACGUGCUCUGAGGCGGCUGUUGAACCCCUCCGAGGGGCCAGCCUUCGAACCUCUGAUCAGUAGGGAGGCUCGGAGCCUGUUUCCUUCACGGAGAAGGGUCCUUUUCGGGGUAUCCCCCUUUCCCAGUCCCUGUUGUAAGAGAGAGAAAGAGGAAAAGGAAAAGGACACGAAAUCGAAUGACACGACGUACCUUUUUUCAACGCGGACAUUAUGGUGAAGGCGAAGCGUCGCUCGCUUCCCCUGCCAGAGACGCCGCCUGUCCCGCCGCGGAGUUAAUGCGACGGGGCGAGUGGUUCGCGGGGCGGCCGUUGCGCAUGCGCGAGCCGUUCGAGGAACAGAACACGGGCGCGUCGUCUUCACACCGUGAGAGAGGGCUCUCUCACUGCCCCAGGAUGGGACGUAAGCUUGGCUGACGACGUGACCGCCGCUCCCGCCCGCCUGCCACCGCCAUCACUGUCGGCCCGUUUUUGGCCGCAUUGACCGUCGCGCCUGGCUGGCACUGCUGGGUCGUACGCAGGGUUGCCUCGAGUCGCGGUACUGGUUGCGCAGUCGAGGAGGCGUGGCAGUGGUGCGAGUGGCGGUGCAGUUGCUUGCACGUAGCGACUGGCGCGCCGGUUGCAUGACGCGUGGGCGCGGGCUUCCAUGCUGGGUGCGUUGGAAGUCGGAGAGGUGCGCCCACUUGGCGCGGUUGCAUGCCGCCUGCAUGGCUGCCCGCCCUUUCGCCCGCUGGUCUGGGCAAAAGUGGAGAACUGCUUGUAACCGCUGGGCGGUUGCAUGCACCGCGCGCGGCGGUUUGGCUUCUUCUGCCCUAAGCCGGCUUGCAUGACGUGUGGGACCCAGCCCCCGCGCCGUAGGGGGAGGACCUUGGAGCGUGUUGGAGAAGACUCAGCCCACGACAGCUGGGGACGCAAGUAGAGAGAGUCGCCUUUAAAAGGAGGGUGACCCCCUUGAAAGGCGACCAUGUCUUCGCGCUCCCUUAUGCAUCGUGUCUUUCCACCUUCCAAGCCCCCGGAUGGGGGAUGCCCGCAGUCCUUUCGCCUUGUCGUUGGAGGAACGCAACUCCGUGGGAGUCGGUACCUUUCAGCCAUCGUUCGGCUUCAAGGAUUUUCAUCAUGCAGCCCGGCUGCACCCCUCCGCCGGCGGUCACCCAAGACGGUGACCUCCAGCCCCUGGAUGGGGAGAAGCAAGCCAGGUUGUGAUCUCGGUUCCGCCCUCAGCUUCAAGGAUGUUCAUCAUCAUUGCUGGGGCGGAGAGCGAGGCGAGCCGGGGCUCUACCUCCUGCGCGGGUCGGCUGGCCACCUCCUCUUCCAGCUUCUGGUGGUGGAAACCAUCCUCCAGCUCUGCAGAGGAGGCGUCCUCCAGCCAUGCCGGGGAAGGCGAACUGUUGCUGCCCAGCUAGGAUGCAACAUUCCGCCCUCUUCCUCGCUUUCGUGGCGAGGACGGGAGCGAGGACCUGCCGGUGCGCUUUGGAGCGGCCCGCUCUUUGGCUUUGAUGGCUGGUUCGCGUCCCUUGGGCGGGAAUGCGAACGAGAGCCUUAUGGUGGCCACAUCCGUCCUAGGACCAUGGCUGCUGCUGCAAAGGUCGCUGGCGAGCCGCCCGGAACUCGUCGCCCCGCAGGCUCCCCGGUGUGGAGGUUGUUCAUACCCGCGGGGACGGAACCGGAGUUCCGUUUGUAAUGGCACUUUGAAUGCCGGUGUUUUUGUUCAUUGUGGCGGUCGAGGCUUGAACAUGUAUGUAUUUUUGGCGCGGAGCCGUGUUUUUUCCUCAUUUUCGAGCACUAAGACUCGCCUGCUCGUUGUCCGAACCGCUUCACCAAGAGUGAGUCGCCCCGUGCAAAGGUGACGAGUGAGGUAUCCGUAUCCCGGAGGCGUAGGAGUCCCUCGGCUCGGUCGACCUUGCUGCCCGAGGCUUCUCUUGCUUAGUUAAAGGAACCCCUCGGCCGCUCUUCGAUGAGCCGAAGCCAGGGGUAGCGGUGUCAGCACGGACAGAGGCAGAGUUGGCUCGAAAAGAAGACUUGGUCGGCCGGAGCCUGGCCGGGUCAUCCAUUAGCGGGACCGACGCCGGAGUUGAUCUGCCGAGGCCUCGGGCCAGGCUGACGUUUUCGGGGGACAGCUGGCCGAGGCCUCGGGGUGACCAGCCGAGCCACCUGCUCGAGCCGGAUUCUUGGAGGAGACCCGGGCGGCGAUGGCCCGGGCGUGAUGAUGAAGUCGUCCUUCAGAGUGGAGACCCUCGGACCGUGUCGCCGUCGGAGGCUAGGUCGGACCUCGCCGAAGGUGUAGUUGACGCCGAGGGUGCUGCCGCUCCCUUCAACCGUCAAGAUCCGAGCCUGCAGGAUCGGAUUAUCUUGUAGUGUGUGUUUUCCGCGGCCGCCGAGGCCCAAACACACCCUCGCCGUGUUGUAAAGCUGCGUUUCUUUUCCUCUUGUUUCGAGUAUCUGGACUUUUUCGUCGGUAACAGAAUUGUCUGUGCGAGCGAGAGUUGCUUCUCACGGAAGGUGAUGAGUGAGGUAUUCGUAUCCCGGAGACGUAGGAAUCCCUCGGCUCGGUCGGCCUUGCCGCUUACGCGCACUCUUACCCGUCCAUAGGGUUCUGUCACCGACGCAGUGGAGAAGGCUCGAAGAAUCGCUUCGGCAGAGGAGCUUUCGAACGUGAAGACUUGUUCGGUCCGCGGAAUCACUUAUCCGAACGUGAGUUACUUAUCACAGAAGGUGAUGAGUGAGGUAUCCGUAUCCCGGAGGCGUAGGAGUCCCUCGGCUCGGUCAGCCUUGGCUGCUUACGUGUACUCCGUCGUUUUCAGGAUCCACUUUCGAAGUAGUCGAAAAGCACGAAAGACAUUCUGGCAGAAAGGAUCUUUUUUCGAGGAAAAUUUCGACGCAGAGGGGGUUCCCCCCUUUUAGCCCCCGAGGGAGGGUCGGGCUUUGCCGAGGCAAGGCUGACCCUUCCUUGAUGACUAAACUUUGCGUGGAAGCGAGGUAUAUGAACAACUUGAAAACAUCUUAAGGGUAGAAGCGACGUAGCUGUUGGAUGUUCCAAGCGUUGCUGUAGACCUCGCCUUGACUGUUGGCCAGCUUGUACGUUCUGGGCUUCAGAACUUUGGCAAUGACGAACGGCCCUUCCCAGGGAGGCGUGAGCUUGUGCCGCCCUCGGGCGUCCUGUCGUAGCCGAAGCACCAGGUCGCCCACCUGGAGGUCUCGGGACCGAACCCCUCGGGCGUGGUAGCGUCGCAGGGACUGCUGGUACAGCGCCGAGUGUAGUAAGGCCUUGUCCCGAGCCUCUUCCAGCUGGUCCAGCGAGUCUUCUCGACUAGCUUGGUUGCUUUGAUCAGCAUAGGCCCUCAUCCUCGGGGAACCGUAUUCUAAGUCUGUGGGCAGGAUGGCCUCGCCCCCAUAGACUAGAAAGAACGGCGUGAAGCUCGUGGCUCGGCUCGGUGUUGUCCUCAGGCUCCAGACCACCGAGGGGAGUUCCUUCAUCCAUCGCUUGCCGAACUUGUUGAGGUCGUUGUAGAUCCGAGGCUUGAGUCCUUGUAGAAUCAUGCCGUUGGCACGCUCUACUUGCCCAUUCGUCAUGGGGUGAGCCACGGUGGCCCAGUCCACCCGGAUGUGGUGAUCCUCGCAGAAGUCCAGGAACUUUCUGCCGGUGAACUGGGUGCCAUUGUCGGUGAUGAUGGAGUUUGGGACCCCGAAGCGAUGGAUGGUGUUGGUGAAGAACACCACCGCCUGCUCGGACCUGAUGUUGUUUAGGGGUCGGACCUCGAUCCACUUGGAGAAUUUGUCGAUGGCGACCAACAGGUGCGUGUAGCCCCCGGGUGCCUUCUGCAAGGGGCCGACGAGGUCCAGACCCCACACAGCAAAAGGCCAGGUGAUGGGUAUGGUCUGCAGGGCCUGAGCAGGCAGGUGGGUCUGCCUUGCGUAGAACUGACACCCUUCGCAGGUGCGGACGAUUCUAGUGGCGUCGGCCACCACCGUCGGCCAGUAGAAACCUUGCCGGAAGGCGUUUCCGACAAGGGCUCGAGGUGCUGCAUGGUGGCCGCAAGCCCCCGAGUGUAUCUCUCGUAGGAGUUCCUGACCUUCGGCGAUGGAAAUGCAUCGCUGGAGGAUGCCCGAGGGGCUGCGGUGGUAGAGCUCCUUCUCAUCUCCCAGCAAGACGAACGACUUAGCGCGUCGCGCCAACCGCCGAGCCUCGGCUCGGUCGAGGGGUAGCUCUCCUCGGUAGAGAUAUUUCAGGUACGGGGUCUGCCAGUUUUGAUUAGGCGUGAUCCCGCUUCGCUCCUCCUCGACGCGCAGUGUCUCGCCCUCGGGGGUCGAGGGUACCUCGGGCCGAGCCGAGGGUGCCUCGGGCUUGGGCGUGUCGUCGAUCUUGACGGAGGGUUGAUGCAGGUCUCGAGAGAAGACGUCCGGGGGAACCGUUGUUCGCCCCGAGGCUAUUUUAGCCAGCUCGUCCGCAGUCUCGUUGUAGCGCCGGGCGAUGUGGUUGAGCUCGAGCCCGUAGAACUUGUCUUCCAGGCGCCGAACCUCAUCGCAAUAGGCCUCCAUCUUCGGGUUGCGGCAGUGGGAGUUCUUCAUGACUUGGUCGAUGAUGAGCUGCGAGUCACCGCGAGCGUCGAGGCGUCGGACCCCUAACUCGAUGGCGAUGCGCAACCCGUUGACCAGGGCCUCGUACUCAGCCACAUUGUUGGACGCCGGGAAGUGGUGGCGUAGCACGUAGCGUAGAUGCUUUCUGAGGGGCGAGAUGAAGAGCAGGCCUGCGCCCGCUCCUGUCUUCAUCAGUGACCCGUCGAAGAACAUGGUCCAUAGUUCCGGCUGGAUCGGAUCUGUUGGGAGCUGGGUGUCGACCCAUUCAGCCACGAAGUCCGCCAAGACCUGGGACUUGAUGGCCUUACGAGGGGCAAACGAUAUUGUUUCGCCCAUAAUUUCCACCGCCCACUUUGCAAUCCUACCCGAGGCCUCUCGGCACUAGAUGAUCUCCCUCAGGGGGAAGGAUGACACCACAGUUACCGGAUGAGACUCGAAGUAGUGUCGCAACUUCCGCCGCGUCAGGAUCACCGCGUACAGCAGCUUCUGAACUUGUGGGUAGCGGAUCUUGGUUUCGGACAGUGCCUCACUGAUGAAGUAGACUAGCCUCUGAAUGGGCAAUGCAAGCCCCUCUUCUCGUCUCUCGACCACAAUCGCGGCGCUAACCACCUGAGUGGUCGCGGCGACGUAGAUCAAGAGGGCUUCUUCGGCAGCGGGGGGCACCAAGAUGGGCGCGUUCGUGAGGAGCGCCUUCAGGUUCCCGAGGGCUUCCUCGGCCUCAGGGGUCCAAGUGAAGCACUCGGCCUUCCUUAAGAGGCGGAACAGAGGCAGGCCUCUUUCGCCGAGGCGCGAGAUGAAGCGGCUUAGAGCCGCAAGACAUCCCAGGACUCUUUGUACGCCUUUCAAGUCCUUGAUGGGCCCCAUGCUGGUGAUGGCUACGAUCUUCUCCGGGUUGGCUUCGAUGCCCCGCUCGGAGACGAUGAACCCCAAGAGCAUGCCUCGGGGCACCCCGAAGACACACUUUUCGGGAUUGAGCUUCACGCCUUUCGCCUUGAGACAUCGGAAUGUCACUUCAAGGUCGGAAAGGAGGUCGGAGGCUUUCCUCGUCUUGACUACGAUGUCAUCGACGUAGGCCUCGACCGUCCGGCCAAUGUGUUCGCUGAACACAUGGUUCAUGCACCGCUGGUACGUCGCGCCCGCAUUCCUCAAGCCGAACGGCAUGGUGACAUAGCAGUACAUGACGAAGGGUGUGAUGAAAGAAGUCGCGAGCUGGUCGGACUCUUUCAUCCUGAUUUGGUGAUACCCUGAAUAGGCAUCGAGGAAAGACAGGGUUUCGCACCCAGCAGUGGAAUCCACGAUUUGAUCGAUGCGAGGCAGAGGGUAGGGAACCUUCGGACAUGCUUUGUUUAGACCAGUGUAGUCUACACACAUCCGCCAUUUCCCUCCUUUCUUUCUCACAAGCGCAGGGUUGGCAAGCCAUUCAGGAUGGAAUACCUCUUUGAUGAACCCUGCCGCCAUUAGCUUGUGGAUCUCCUCGCCUAUGGCUCUGCGCUUUUCUUCGUCGAAUCGGCGCAGAGCCUGCUUGACGGGUCGGGCUCCGGCUCGGAUAUCCAGCGAGUGCUCGGCGACAUCCCUCGGUAUGCCGGGCAUGUCCGAGGGACUCCACGCGAAAACGUUGGCGUUUGCGCGGAGAAAGUCGACGAGCACUGCUUCCUAUUUGGGAUCGAGCUUGGAGCCGAUCCGGAUCUGCUUGGAGGCGUCGCUGCUGGGGUCAAGGGGGACGGACUAAACCGUCUCCGCUGGCUCGAAGUUGCCGGCGUGACGCUUCACGUCUGGCACCUCCUUAGAGAGGCUUUCCAGGUCGGCGAUGAGGGCCUCGGACUCGGCGAGGGCCUCGGCGUACUCCACGCACUCCACGUCGCAUUCGAACGCGUGUUUGUACGUGGGGCCGACGGUGAUGACCCCGUUGGGGCCCGGCAUCUUGAGCUUGAGGUAGGUGUAGUUGGGGACGUGAAAGGGAAAUGUGCCCUUGGGCCAUUUCUAAGUAUUUUGGUGAUUUAGUGACUAACACAAGUGCUUAAAUGUAAAAUGGUGGACAAAGUACAAACCAAGGAUAAAGGUAUGUUUCUCAGACUUAGUAAAUUGUUUUAUGGACUAAUGUAUUGUGUCUAAGUGCUGGAAACAGGAAAAAUCCAAUUGGAAAUGUCUUGGCUCUUGCAGCCAAGAAUCUGCCCAGUCUGGGAGCACCGGACUGUCCGGUGGUGCACCGGACAGUGUCCGGUGUGCCAGGCUGGUUCGAGCGAAGUGGCCGCUCUCGGGAAUUAACCGGCGACGUACGGCUAUAAUUCACCGGACUGUCCGGUGUGCACCGGACUGUCCAGUGAGCCAACGGUCGGCCGGGCCAACGGUCGGCAGCGCGAUCUGCGCGGGACACGUGGCCGAGCCAACGGCUAGAAGGGGGCACCGGACAUGUCCGGUGCGCCAAUGGCUCUCUGGCUGCCAACAGUCGACUGCGCCAAUUAUGGAAAGAAAUCGGGCACCAGACAUGUCCGGUGUGCACCGGACUGUCCGGUGCGCCAGUCGACAGAAGGCAAGAUUAGCCUUCCAAGAUUGCUCUCAACGGCUCCUAGCUGCCUUGGGGCUAUAAAAGGGACCCCCUAGGCGCAUGAAGGAGAACACCAAGCAUACUUACAACAUUCCUAAGCACCAAGUCAUCGAUUCCACGCAUUUGUUUCUUUGUGAUAGCAUAUAGAGCUCUUGUGGAGUUGUGAACUCAUUGGGUUGUGUUGCAAGCUCUUGUUGCGACUUGUGUGCGUGUUGUUGCUCUGAUUUGUGAGUCUUGUGUGAGUUGCUCAUCCCUCCCUUACUCCGUGAUUCUUUGUGAACAUCAAAAGUGUAAGGGCGAGAGGCUCCAAGUUGUGGAGAUUCCUCGCGAACGGGAUAAGAAAAGAAAAACAAAACACCGUGGUAUUCAAGUUGAUCAUUGGAUCACUUGAGAGGAGUUGAGUGCAACUCUCAUCCGUUGGGACGCCACAACGUGGAGUAGGCAAGCGUUGGUCUUGGCCGAACCACGGGAUAAACCAUUGUGUCAUCUCUGUGAUUGUUCUAUUGUGGUUAUUGUGUUUUGCUAAGACAUCUCUUUAGCCACUUGGCAAUUAUUGUGCUAACGAUUAACCAAGUUUUGUGGCUUAAGUUUUCAAGUUUCACAGGAUCACCUAUUCACCCCCCCCCCCUCUAGGUGCUCUCAAUUGGUAUCAGAGCCGUUCUCUUCACAAAGGGACUAAUCGCCCGAAGAGAUGGAUCCUAAGGGGAAGGGUAUCGUGAUCAACGACAAAGAGAAGGAAUCCUUCGUCAACGAGCCGAAGGACGACAAGCCUACCGACUCCGGCUCGGGCCAUAGACGAAAAGAUGGGAAGAAGAAGAAGACGAGGCGCAUCAAGGAGAUCGUCUACUACGACGACAGCGAUGAGUCUACUUCUUCCCAAAAGGACGAUGACCACAACGACUACGAGAGAAGGAAACCGGUUAAUUCGAACUUUUCUUUUGACUACUCUCGUAUUCCACAAAGUUCAAAUUCACAUUUGCUCUCCAUUCCACUCGGCAAGCCUCCACACUUUGAUGGAGAGGACUACGGAUUUUGGAGCCAUAAAAUGCGUAGUCACCUAUUUUCUCUCCAUCCUAGUAUAUGGGAGAUUGUAGAGAGUGGAAUGCACUUUGAUAGUACGGAUAGUCCUGUAUUCAUUAAUGAGCAAAUACAUAAGAAUGCACAAGCUACUACUGUUCUUCUAGCUUCAUUGUGCAGGAAUGAAUACCACAAAGUGAGCGGCUUGGAUAACGCCAAGCAGAUCUGGGACACCCUCAAGAUUUCACAUGAGGGGAACGACGUCACCUUGCUCACCAAGAUGGAGUUGGUGGAGGGCGAGCUUGGACGAUUCGCGAUGAUAAGGGGCGAGGAGCCAACACAAACAUACAACCGGCUCAAGACCCUUAUCAACAAAAUAAGGAGCUACGGAAGCACGCGAUGGACGGACCACGACGUCGUCCGACUGAUGCUAAGGUCCUUUACCGUUCUUGAUCCUCAUUUGGUGAAUAAUAUUCGUGAGAAUCCCAGGUACACCAAAAUAUCGCCCGAAGAAGUCCUUGGAAAAUUCGUUAGCGGGCGAAUGAUGAUCAAGGAGGCGAGGUACGUGGACGACGCCUUGAAUGGUCCUAUCAACGAGCCGCAACCCCUUGCUCUCAAGGCAACAAGAAGCAAGGAGGCGCUACCUAGCAAGGUGGCACAAAUUGAGGCGGCCGGACUUAAUGAUGAAGAGAUGGCCCUCAUCAUCAAAAGAUUCAAGACGGCGCUUAAAGGUCGCAAGGGACAGCCAAACAAGACCAAAGCCAAGGGGAAGCGCUCAUGCUUCAAAUGCGGUAAGCUUGGUCAUUUUAUUGCUAACUGUCCCGACAAUGAUAGUGAUCAGGACCAAGGGAACAAGAGGGAGAAGAAGAAGAAUUAUAAGAAGGCAAAGGGCGAGGCUCAUCUUGGCAAGGAAUGGGAUUCGGACUGCUCCUCGUCCGACUCCGACAAUGAAGGACUCGCCGCCACCGCCUUCAACAAGUCAUCCCUCUUCCCCAACGAGCGUCACACAUGCCUUAUGGCAAGGGAGAAGAAGGUAUGUACUCGAGACUCUACUUAUGCUUCUUCAAGUGAAGACGAAUCUAGUGAUGAGGAAAUAGAUUACUCUAGCUUGUUCAAGGGAUUGGAUAGAAAUAAAAUUGAUAAAAUCAAUGAAUUGAUUGAUGCCUUGAAUGAAAAGGAUAGGCUUUUAGAAAAGCAAGAGGAUUUGUUGUAUGAUGAACAUGACAAAUUUGUAGAGGCACAAAAAUCCUAUGCUUUAGAAGUUAAAAGAAAUGAAAUGCUUUCUUAUGAACUAUCUACGUGUCAUGAAACCAUUUCUACUUUAUAAAGUGUUAACAAUGAUUUAAAUGCUAAAUUAGAAGUAUCAAAUAAAUCUAAUUCUUGUGUAGAACAUCUUAUGAUUUGCACUAGGUGUAAGGAUUUUGAUAUUGAUGGCUGUAAUGAACACCUAGUUUCAAUUUCGAGAUUAAAUGAUGAAGUAGCUAGUCUUAAUGCCCAACUUAAGACUAGCAAAAGUGAUUUCGAUAAGCUAAAGUUUGCAAGGGAUGCCUACACGAUUGGUAGACACCCCUCAAUUAAGGAUGGACUUGGCUUCAAGAGGGAAGCCAAGGACUUAACAAGCCAUAAGGCUCCCAUCUCCGCCAAGGAGAAAGGGAAGGCCCCUAUGGCAAGUAGCACUAAAAGGAACCAUGCUUUUAUGUACAACGAUAGAAGACAGUCUCAUAGGAAUUGCAAUGCUUUUGAUUCACAUGACUCGUAUGCUAUGUUUGCUCCUAGUUCUUCCUAUAUGCAUGGUAGGGGUAUGCCUAGAAAAAAUGUUCAUCAUGUGACUAGAAAGAAUUUUGCUCAUGCUUCUAGGAAAGUUAUAAAUGGUCCCUCUACAAUUUAUCAUGCUUUAAAUGCUUCCUUUGCUAUUUGUAGAAAGGAUAGGAAGGUAGUUGCUAGGAAGUUAGGGGCAAAAUGCAAGGGUGAUAAAACUUGCAUUUGGGUCCCUAAGGAAAUUGUGACUAACCUUGUAGGACCCAACAAGAGUUGGGUACCUAAGACCCAAGCCUAAAUUUGCCUUGCAGGUUUAUGCAUCCGGGGGUUCAAGCUGGAUUAUCGACAGCGGAUGCACAAACCAUAUGACGGGGGAGAAGAAGAUGUUCACCUCCUACGUCAAGAAUAAGGAUUCCCAAGAUUCAAUCAUAUUCGGUGAUGGGAACCAAGGCAAGGUGAAAGGUUUAGGCAAGAUUGCAAUAUCAAAUGAGCAUUCUAUCUCUAAUGUGUUUUUAGUGGAGAGUCUUGGAUAUAAUUUACUAUCUGUUAGUCAAUUAUGUAAUAUGGGAUAUAACUGUUUAUUUACAAAUAUAGAUGUGUCUGUCUUUAGAAGAUGUGAUGGUUCACUAGCUUUUAAGGGUGUACUAGACGGCAAACUUUACUUAGUUGAUUUUGCAAAAGAAGAGGCCGGUCUAGAUGCAUGCUUAUUGGCUAAGACUUGCAUGGGCUGGUUGUGGCAUCGCCGCUUAGCACAUGUGGGGAUGAAGAACCUCCACAAGCUUCUAAAGGGAGAACACGUGAUAGGUCUAACCAAUGUUCAUUUCGAAAAAGAUAGACCUUGUGCAGCUUGUCAAGCAGGCAAACAAGUGGGAGGAGCACAUCACAGUAAGAAUGUAAUGACCACGUCAAGACCUCUGGAGCUGCUGCAUAUGGACCUCUUCGGACUCGUCGCCUAUCUGAGCAUAGGAGGAAGUAAGUAUGGUCUAGUUAUUGUUGAUGACUUUUCCCGCUUCACUUGGGUGUUCUUUUUGCAGGAUAAGUCUGAAACCCAAGGGACCCUCAAGCGCUUCCUCAGGAGAGCUCAAAAUGAGUUUGAGCUCAAAGUGAAGAAGAUAAGGAGCGACAACGGGUCCGAAUUCAAGAAUCUUCAAGUGGAGGAGUUCCUUGAGGAGGAGGGGAUCAAGCACGAGUUCUCCGCUCCCUACACACCUCAGCAAAAUGGUGUGGUAGAGAGGAAGAACAGGACGCUCAUUGAUAUGGCGAGGACUAUGCUUGGAGAAUUCAAGACCCCCGAGUGCUUUUGGUCGGAAGCCGUGAACACGGCUUGCCACGCCAUCAACAGGGUCUACCUUCACCGCCUCCUCAAGAAGACUUCAUAUGAGCUGCUGACUGGUAACAAACCCAAUGUAUCGUACUUUCGUGUUUUUGGGAGUAAAUGCUACAUUCUAGUGAAGAAGGGUAGGAAUUCCAAAUUUGCUCCCAAAGCUGUAGAAGGGUUUUUAUUAGGUUAUGAUUCAAAUACAAAGGCGUAUAGGGUCUUCAACAAAUCAUCGGGUUUGGUUGAAGUCUCUAGCAACGUUGUAUUUGAUGAGACUAAUGGCUCUCCAAGAGAGCAAGUUGUUGAUCUUGAUGAUGUAGAUGAAGAAGACGUUCCAACGGCCGCGAUACGCACCAUGGCGAUUGGAGAGGUGCGACCACAGGAACAAAAUAAGCGAGAUCAACCUUCUUCCGCAACUAUGGUGCAUCCCCCAACUCAAGACGAUGAACAGGUUCAUCAACAGGAGGCGUGUGAUCAAGGGGGAGCACAAGAUGAUCAUGUGAUGGAGGAAGAAGCGCAAUCGGCACCUCCAACCCAAGUUCGAGCGAUGAUUCAAAGGGAUCAUCCCGUCGACCAAAUUCUGGGUGAUAUUAGCAAGAGAGUAACUACUCGAUCCCGAUUAGUUAAUUUUUGUGAGCAUUACUUCUUUGUCUCUUCUAUUGAGCCUUUCAGGGUAGAAGAGGCCUUGCUAGAUUCGGACUGGGUGUUGGCCAUGCAAGAGGAGCUCAACAACUUUAAGCGCAAUGAAGUUUGGACACUAGUGCCUCGUCCCAAGCAAAAUAUUGUGGGAACCAAGUGGGUGUUCCGCAACAAACAGGACGAGCACGGGGUGGUGACGAGGAACAAGGCUCGACUUGUGGCAAAAGGUUAUGCCCAAGUCGCAGGUUUGGACUUUGAGGAGACGUUUGCUCCUGUGGCUAGGCUAGAAUCAAUUCGUAUUUUGCUAGCAUAUGCCGCUCACCAUUCUUUCAGGUUGUACCAAAUGGAUGUGAAGAGCGCUUUCCUCAACGGGCCGAUCAAGGAGGAAGUGUACGUGGAGCAACCCCCUGGCUUCGAGGAUGAACGGUACCCCGACCACGUGUGUAAGCUCUCUAAGGCGCUCUAUGGACUUAAGCAAGCCCCAAGAGCAUGGUAUGAAUGCCUUAGAGACUUUCUAAUUGCUAAUGCUUUCAAGGUUGGGAAAGCCGAUCCAACUCUUUUCACUAAGACUUGUGAUGGUGAUCUUUUUGUGUGCCAAAUUUAUGUCGAUGACAUAAUAUUUGGUUCUACUAAUAAAAAGUCUUGUGAAGAAUUUAGCAGGGUAAUGACGCAGAAAUUCGAGAUGUCAAUGAUGGGCGAGUUGAACUACUUCCUUGGGUUCCAAGUGAAGCAACUCAAGGACGACACCUUCAUCUUUCAAACGAAGUACACGCAAGACUUGCUGAAGCGGUUUGGGAUGAAGGACGCCAAGCCCGCAAAGACUCCGAUGGGGACCGACGGACACACCGACCUCAACAAAGGAGGUAAGUCCGUUGAUCAAAAAGCAUACCGGUCCAUGAUAGGUUCUUUGCUUUAUUUAUGUGCUAGUAGACCGGAUAUUAUGCUUAGCGUAUGCAUGUGUGCUAGAUUUCAAUCCGAUCCUAAGGAGUGUCACUUAGUGGCUGUGAAGCGAAUUCUUAGAUAUUUAGUCGCUACGCCUUGCUUCGGGAUCUGGUAUCCAAAGGGGUCUAACUUUGAUCUGAUUGGAUAUUCAGAUUCCGACUAUGCUGGAUGUAAGGUCGAUAGGAAGAGUACAUCGGGGACGUGCCAAUUCUUAGGAAGGUCCCUGGUGUCAUGGAAUUCUAAGAAACAAACUUCCGUUGCCCUAUCCACCACUGAGGCCGAGUAUGUUGCCACAGGACAGUGUUGCGCGCAACUACUUUGGAUGAGGCAAACCCUCAGGGACUUUGGCUACAAUCUGAGCAAAGUCCCACUCCUAUGUGAUAACUAGGUGAGUGCCCGUGCGUUGCAACGGGAACAUAUAAUACCGUUGAAGGAAGGGAGUAGAUGGGAGAGUGUAUCGGCUGGACAGGAAAGAAGAGCACGGAUCUGGGGAUGAUGAUAGCUGCGGCGACGUGUAAGGGAGAGUGCGGCACGAGGGUCGGGGGCAACGGACGUGAGCUACGAUGUUAGGUCGGUCAGCCAACAACCCACGCAUGCGAGAGAGACAGAACAACAUUAUAUGAAUAGUAAUUAAUAUGAUAAAAUACAUUGAUAUACAAACUCCUUUUUUUGAGAAAUGAAGCCAUAGCAAAUUGUGCCCAAUUGGACCAGUUUGAUGAGGAGCUUUACAAAGUCUGAUAAAAUAUUCCCUACGUGCAUAUAUUGUUGAUGUACUACUUAUAUUCUUCAUAGUUUUAUGACCUAUCAUAAAUUACGCUUCCCUAUUUUAUUAGAGAAAGACAACCCAUUAUCUUCCUGUAUCGGUUUACCAUAAUGCGUUCCUUUUUUAUGAUAAUUUUAAUUUCCUUGAGAAUGAAAAUAAAUACUAUAUUUUUUUGAAGUUCCAAUGUUUUUUCUAUUAUAAAAAAUAGUUUAUGUAGUCAAUAUCAACAACAUUAUUUUUUUUGUUUUUUGGUUUUCAGACCAUUUGUUUCAUUUUGAUUGUUGUGGGUAUGAUGGUUUUUACUCAUAAUAAUAGUUUGAAUGUUUGAUUGUCUUGAUGAAUGAAAUGAACGCGUUUUUGUUCGUCGUCUCCGAGCUAUAUAUCCUCGCGGAACUCUGGUCAUUGAAUCAAAUUAACCUUAAUGAAUAACUAAUGAUUUCUCUUCUUUUAACCCUCUUUUUUCCAUUAAUAACUAAACGGAUUAUUUCGAUAUAUAAAAUAUUAAUUCCAAUGGCUUUUGCUACUAUAACCUUCCCAACCACAAUUUUUUAUUCUAUCCCAAGAGACAUUUGGGACUUCAACAACCUGGAUCCAGAAAUCAAACUAAGCAUCCCAGAACAAGAGCAGCUAACACAGAUAAUUAUAGGCAUGUACUCACAGUUUCACGGAGAGCAGAUGGGUUGCUUGUUCCAAGCGCAGUCUUGAAAUGGUCAUUUGUAACAACCAUCGAGUUCAAUAUCUCUGCAUCUAUUGUAUCAUCCUCAAGAUCUAUGAUGUCCAUCUUCUCACGAAUUCAAUGAAGAGCAGCCUCAGUGCAAAGGGCAGCAAGAUCAGCACCAACGUAUCCAUGGGUAUCCUUUGAAAUGAGUUCCAAAUUAACCUGGAAAUAUUCAGAGAAUGGACAUCACGAGACGCUAGAAGAGAAGACAGAAACCAUAUUCUAAUCAGUGUGAAGUGCAAUGCAUCAAGAAUAAAUUACAGACACUUACAUCUUCAGCUAGCUUCAUGUUCUUAGUGUGAAUACGGAAACCUCAAGCCGGCCAACUUCAUCAGGAACUCCAAUGUCAAUUACUUGGUCAAACCUUCCAAAUCUUCUAAGAGCAGGAUCGAUGUUGUUUGGCCGGUUUGUAGCACCCAUAACAAUAACAUGGGAACGAGAUUUGAGUCCAUCCAUAAGAGCCAGUAGCUGUGAAACAAUACGACGUUCUACUUCUCCAUUGGUCUUUUCUCUCUUGGGUGCAAUUGAAUCAUUUUCAUCAAUGAAAAUGAUAGAUGGAGCACCCAUAACAAUUAUCUGCCCAACAUAAAAAAUACUCGACUCCCAUGAACUGCAUGAUUCAAUGCAUACGAAGCAACUGUCUAUCAAACAUAAAAAAUACUCGACUCCCAUGAAAUGAUCUACUGUGGCAGUACAUCCUAAGAGGUCCAGACUCAAAAAAUGUUUAUAGUAAACAAAGACAAAAGGGAAAUAAGUACCAACCUCUAAAGGAGUAAGAGGACACUUUUCAUCCCUUCUGUUUGCCUCAGGGUUUAUCACUCGACCAUGCUGACGAAACUUACCUCUCCAUCUCUUUUCACGAGCAUGGUCCCUUUCAGUUUUAUCCCUCCAACGACCAUCAUAUGUACACCACAAAAAGGCUAUCAUAUCCUAAAACAUACAUGGUAUUAGUAAGAUGAAAAAUGUCAUAAUUGUGAACAAAUAAGAUACUUGAAACAUGUUCGAAGCGAAGAUGCACUGGAACAUACUUCCCUCCAGUCAACAAACUCUUUUUUGUAAAUGAAGAUCCAUCUCUGAAUUGGCAUAUCUAUAAAGCUCCAUCUAACUGAAUUGGAAUAUCUAGUCUAGAAAGCUAUAAAAUUACUCUAACUGAACACUCAACGUCUAAAACAGACUCCAUCAUACUGCACACAAAAAAUCGAGUGUACAACAACAAAUGUAUCGGCCUGAUAGAAAACAUGAUUGAAUUUCAUGCUUACAUGUGUACUAACUAUUUCACAACUCUUGUAAGCAAUGACAUAGGGCGAAAUCAUGCAAAUCACCAAACCAAAUCACAGAUCUAGGCAUUUUAGGAAAAUACAUGAAAAGCAGAGCUACCUUUCCACGAUUCAAGCCUUCUUCUGCGGUUGGACUGCAGCCUCCACCCGCCAACGACGACGGCGACUCAGGAAAGCUCCUCCAUCGCUGGUGCCAACCUUCUAUCGAAUGACCGGAUCCAGGACGGUGUCCAAAUCGUCCACGCCCCCGCGUGCCGAGAUUGUUGGAGCUACCCCUUCCCUCGCAGCCACGCUGACGCCGGACACCAAGUAACCGCCUCCUCCAUGCUCACCAGUUCACUGACAAUGCGGGCAAUGGUAAAGGAAGAGCAACAACUGGAUAUGAGGAGUGGCCGCUCACACCACAUUUGGGGCGAGAUCGAGAUGGGAUUAAAGGGAGGGGGCGGACCUUGGCGGCGAUCUUGGACGGGAGGGCCCGGGUAACGCGCGAGCGGGGCAGGGGGGAGACGACGGUCGUCUCAGCGAUGUGGAGGAUGGACGCGGUGUCUGUCGGAGCAGGGUUGGGGGAGCGGGCAUCGCGAGCGGUGCGGACGCGACGUCGAUGUCGGGAGGACGGGGCGUGGCACGCGGGCACCUGCUGCCACAGCCUCCCGCGCAUGCCGAAUAGUAUCGCCACCGCGUCCGACGCCAACCCGCCUGCGGGACGUGCCACCGCGUUCAUCGCGCCGAAGCACGCCGCCGCGGCGCCCGCAACCUCCAUGGGAGGUGGAAACGUUUCCGGAAGAAGUUGGCGGCCACGUUCUCCAUGAUGAGCUCGACGCCAUAGCAGUAGCCGUAGGUGAGCGCGAGCACCCACGCGCGGUAGUUGCCGACCCCUCCGGGCACCACCUUCCACAAGCUAUUGCCGGUCUUGGCUCCGGCGCCGACGCCGCGCGGGUGGUCGUUGGGGAAGGCGAGGACGGCGAGGCCCGUGGUGAUGAGGAGCGUGCAGGGGAGGAGGUAGGUGACGCGCCAGGCGACGGUGAUGGGCACGCCGAGACGGAGGACGAGCUCGUACGCGAGCGGCAUGACGAGCUACGCCGCGACGCUGACGACGUUGGUCCAGCCGGCCGUGACGGCGUUGGCGAGCCCCACGACAGAGGGCGCGAAGAUGCCUGACAUCUAGUGCUGGUUGGCGACGAAGUUGGCGAGGGAGAGGCCCGCCACGAAGCGCAGCGCGACGAACCCCGCGGGCGACGACGCGGUGACCGAGACGGCGAGCGCGGCCAGGAGGCUGGCGAACCCCGACGCGCGGCGCGGGCCGAGGAGGUCGCAUGCGGGCCCCAUGGCGAGCCUGCCUACCAGCGUGGCGGAGAGGGAGCCCACUGCGGCGGCGGGGGCGUCCGAGGGCAUGAGCACGAGUGCCGGUCGCAGCGCAGGGAGGAUGGGCGGGGCGGCAAAGGCCGCGAAGAAGCAGACGAAGAGGGAGAGCCAGGCAAGGUGGAACGCCUGCGUGUGCGGCGACAGCAGUGAUAGAGGGCGCAGAUCCGUCGCCCUGAACUCGUCAUCGACGCCGCACUCCGCCUCAGCGCCGCCGACGCCAUACCAGCAGUUCUCUUCGUCGUCGGCCAGCUGCAGCUUUUUCCCCAUCGCGACCAUAGUUAGCUAGCUACCUAGUGACGUCUGCCUGGCCUCGUGGCUGCGAGGAAGAGAUCUACCACAGCCAAGCAGAGAAUGGAUCCGUGGCGGUGUGAAGCAUUCUAGGUGAGGGAGGCGGAGACAGAAGAGAGACGGCAUGUGGUGGGCGGGCGGUUCGCGCGGCGUGAUUCGUCACGGGCGUUGCGGGAGGGAAUUCACAGCGGGCGGGCGGUCGUGCGGGCGGGGUUUGCGGCGGGCGUAUCGCGGCGGGUGGGGGUCACGGCGUGCGGAUUGAUCGGGCGGGGGCGGUCUACAAUGUGGUCUUAAUAGUUAGUACAGAUGAGAGUGCUAUCCGCAUGGCGGAAAAUCCUGUUGAACACAGCCGCACAAAGCACAUAGACAUCCGGCAUCACUUUUUGAGAGACCACCAGCAAAAGGGAGAUAUCGAAGUGUUUCAUGUUAGCACCGAGAACCAGCUAGCCGAUAUCUUUACCAAGCCUCUAGAUGAGAAGACCUUUUGCAGGUUGCGUAGUGAGCUAAAUGUCUUAGAUUUGCGGAACUUGGAUUGAUUUAUAGCAUACAUGUGUAUAUGCCUUUGAUCAUGUUCCUUAUGCAUUUUGUUGCUUAAUAAUGGUGCUCAAGUUGUACAAACACUCCCUGGACCUCACAAGUCCGUUGCAAAGUGAUGCACAUGUUUAGGGGGAGAUGUGUUACAACUUGACCCUUUGAGACUAACCAUGUGCUUGAGUUUGCUUGUUUUAGUCUCAAAGGAGGUUUGGAAGGGAAAAGGUGGACUUGGACCAUGAAAGACUUCCACUGCACUCCGAUGAGAGGGUAACUUAUUCCAAGUUCAUCUCAUGUACUCUUAUUCCCUUUGUAUUCUUAUUGAAGCUUUUGGUGAGGCAAUGGGGUUCUCGGGCCAAGAUUGAUCCCGUUUUGGUGCUUGAUGCCAAAGGGGGAGAAAAUAAAGGCCAAAGCGAUAAAUGGAUCAGCUACCACUUGAGUAAUUUUGAAAAUGGUAGAUUAGAGCUUUUGGUUUGUCAAAACUCUAUUAUUGUCUCUUGUGUCAAAAGUUGGCCUCUUAUGGGGAGAAGUGUCGAUUAUGGGAAAAAGGGGGAGUUUUGAAAUCCUUGAUCAAAUUUCUUUGGAAAACCUCUCUUUAUGUAUCUACAAGUGGAUUUGACUUAGAGAUAGGAAUUUGAGUUUGAUUUGCAAAAACAAACCAAGUGGUGGCAAAGGGUGAUUCAUAUAUGUCAAAAUUGAAUCAAACAAUUUGAGUUCUUAUUUGAAUUGGUUUUGUAUUUGUUCUACUUGCUUUAUAUUGUGUUGGCAUAAAUCACCAAAAAGGGGGAGAUUGAAAGGGAAAUGUGCCCUUGAGCCAUUUCUAAGUAUUUUGGUGAUUUAGUGACUAACACAAGUGCUUAAAUGUAAAAUGGUGGACAAAGUACAAACCAAGGAUAAAGGUAUGUUUCUCAGACUUAGUACAUUGUUUUAUGGACUAAUGUAUUGUGUCUAAGUGCUGGAAACAGGAAAAAUCCAAUUGGAAAUGUCUUGGCUCGAGCAGCCAAGAAUCUGCCCAGUCUGGGAGCACCGAACUGUCCGGUGGUGCACCGGACAGUGUCCGGUGCGCCAGGCUGGUUCGAGCGAAGUGGCCGCUCUCGGGAAUUAACCGGCGACGUACGGCUAUAAUUCACCGGACUGUCCGGUGUGCACCGGACUGUCCGGUGAGCCAACGGUCGGCCGGGCCAACGGUCGGCAGCGCGAUCUGCGCGGGACACGUGGCCGAGCCAACGGCUAGAAGGGGGCACCGGACAUGUCCGGUGUGCACCGGACAUGUCCGGUGCGCCAACGGCUCUCUGGCUGCCAACGGUCGGCUGCGCCAAUUAUGGAAAGAAAUCGGGCACCGGACAUGUCCGGUGUGCACCGGACUGUCAGGUGCGCCAGUCGACAGAAGGCAAGAUUAGCCUUCCAAGAUUGCUCUCAACGGCUCCUAGCUGCCUUGGGGCUAUAAAAGGGACCCCUAGGCGCAUGAAGGAGAACACCAAGCAUACUUACAACAUUCCUAAGCACCAAGUCAUCGAUUUCGCGCAUUUGUUUCUUUGUGAUAGCAUAUAGAGCUCUUGUGGAGUUGUGAACUCAUUGGGUUGUGUUGCGAGCUCUUGUUGCGACUUGUGUGCGUGUUGUUGCUCUGAUUUGUGAGUCUUGUGUGAGUUGCUCAUCCCUCCCUUACUCCGUGAUUCUUUGUGAACAUCAAAAGUGUAAGGGCGAGAGGCUCCAAGUUGUGGAGAUUCCUCGCGAACGGGAUAAGAAAAGAAAAGCAAAACACCGUGGUAUUCAAGUUGAUCAUUGGAUCACUUGAGAGGAGUUGAGUGCAACUCUCGUCCGUUGGGACGCCACAACGUGGAGUAGGCAAGCGUUGGUCUUGGCCGAACCAGGGGAUAAACCACUGUGUCAUCUCUGUGAUUGUUCUAUUGUGGUUAUUGUGUUUUGCUAAGACAUCUCUUUAGCCACUUGGCAAUUAUUGUGCUAACGAUUAACCAAGUUUUGUGGCUUAAGUUUUCAAGUUUCACAGGAUCACCUAUUCACCCCCCCUCUAGGUGCUCUCAGGACGGCCAUGAACUUCGCGUAGCAUGGCCUCCCCAGUACCGCGUGGUAGGUUCCUCGGAACCUGACCACCUCGAACGUAAGGGUCUCCCUUCGGAAGUUGGAGGGCGUUCCGAAGCAGACAGGAAGGUCGAGUUGUCCGAGGGGCUAGACGCGCUUCCUGGGGAUGAUCCCGUGGAAAGGCGCAGCGCCUGCCCAGACCGAGGACAGAUCGACACGCAAGAGCCCGAGGGUCUCGGCGUAGAUGAUGUUGAGGCUGCUGCCUCCGUCCAUGAGGACCUUGGUGAGCCUGACGUCGCCGAUGACGGGGUCGACAACGAGCGGGUAUUUCCCCGGGCUCGGCACGUGAUCGGGGUGGUCGGCUUGGUCGAAGGUGAUGGGCUUGUCGGACCAGUCUAGGUAGACUGGCGCCGCCACCUUCACCGAACAGACCUCCCGACGCUCUUUCUUGCGGCGCCGAGCCGAGGCGUUCGCCGCUUGCCCACCGUAUAUCAUGAAGCAGUCGCGGACCUCGGGGAAUUCUCCUGCCUGGUGAUCUUCCUUCUUGUCGUCGUCACGAGCCCUGCCACCCUCCGCGGGUGGCCCGGCCCUGUGGAAGUGGCGCCGAAGCGUAGCGCACUCCUCAAGGGUGUGCUUGAUGGGCCCCUGAUGAUAGGGGCACGGCUCCUUGAGCAUCUUGUCGAAGAGGUUGGCACCUCCGGGGGGUUUCCGAGGGUUCUUGUACUCGGCGGCGGCGACAAGGUCCGCGUCGGUGGCGUCGCGUUUCGCUUGCGACUUCUUCUUGCCCUUCUUCUUGGUGCCGCGCUGAGUUGACGCCUCAGGGGCAUCUUCCGGUGGGCGGCCCUGGGGCUGCUUGUCCUUCCGGAAGAUAGCCUCAACCGCCUCCUGGCCAGAGGCAAACUUGGUGGCGAUGUCCAUCAGCUCGCUCGCCCUGGUGGGGGUCUUGCGACCCAGCUUGCUCACCAGGUCGCGGCAGGUGGUGCCGGCGAGGAACGCGCCGAUGACAUCUGAAUCGAUGAUGUUGGGCAGCUCGGUGCGCUGCUUCGAGAAUCGCCGGAUGUAGUCCCGGAGAGACUCUCCUGGCUACUGUCGGUAGCUUCGGAGGUCCCAGGAAUUUCCGGGGUGCACGUACGUGCCCUGGAAAUUGCCGGCGAAGGCUUGGACCAGGUCGUCCCAGUUGGAGAUCUGCCCCGGAGGCAGGUGCUCCAACCAGGCGCGAGCGGUGUCGGAGAGGAACAGGGGGAGGUUGCGGAUAAUGAGGUUGUCAUCGUCCGUUCCACCCAGUUGGCAGGCCAGCCGGUAGUCCGCGAGCCACAGUUCCGGUCUCGUCUCCCCCGAGUACUUUGUGAUAGUAGUCGGGGGUCGGAACCGGGUCGGGAACGGCGCCCGUCGUAUGGCACGGCUGAAGGCCUGUGGACCGGGUGGUUCGGGCGAGGGACUCUGAUCCUCCCCGCUGUCGUAGCGUCCUCCACGCCUGGGGUGGUAGCCUCGGCGCACCCUCUCGUCGAGGUGGGCCCGACGGUCGCGGUGAUGGUGCUCGUUGCCGAGGCGACCCGGGGCCGCAGGCGCUGUGUUGCGCGUGCGCCCGGUGUGGACCGAGGCUUCCCACAUGAAUCGGGAAGUCGCGGCACGAUGUUCCGAGGGGUACCCCUGCCUCCGGGAGGCGGAGCUCUCGGCCCGUCGGACCGCGGCGCCCUCCAGGAGAUUCUUGAGCUCUCCCUGGAUUCGCCGCCCCUUGGUGGUUGAUGGCUCUGGCAUCGCACGGAGAAGCAUUGCUGCUGCAGCCAGGUUCUGGCCGACCCCACUGGAAGAGGGUGGCGGCCUCAUCCUAACAUCGUCGGCGAUGCGGUGCUGGAUACCCUGGGGUAGAUGGCGCACUUCUCCGGACGGAGGUUGGCCCGCCCAUUCCUGCCCGACGUCCCGGCGGAUCGGCUCAAGUGCUCCUGCUCCCUCGUCGAGUCUGGCCUGCACCCCGCGGAUUUGCUCGAGCUGUGGGUCAUGACCCCCCGCCGGAACGGGGACCACAGCUAGCUCCCGUAGGAUGUCAACGCGUGGCACAGGCCUAGGGAGAUCCCCGUUCUCCGGCAUACCGAGAUGGUUGCCCUCGGAGGGACCCCCUAGAUCGACGUGGAAACAUUCAUGACUUGGGCCGCAGUCCUCGUCGCCGAGGCUGCGGCUACCGUCGGAACAGUCGGAAAGGCAGUAGUCGCAUGCGGUCAUGAAGUCCCGCAUGACACUGGGGUUGCCAAGUCCAGAGAAAUCCCAACAGAAGUCGGGCUCGUCAUCUUCCUCGGACCCCGAGGGCCCAUAGGUCGAGACGUCCGUCAGCCGGUCCUAGGGUGACCACAUACGAAACCCCAGAGGGUUUGGACUCGCCUCUACGAGAGUGUCCGCCAAAGCGAAGUCGCUUGGCGGGUCGAGGCUGAAUCCAAUGGGCGUGAGAUGGGAACCGGUGGGUACCUCUUGGUCGACGGGCGGUGACGAAGUCACGUCAGGGACUGACUGCACCGUCGUCCCAGGUACGAGGGUGACGCCCAGCAAGCCUUUCGCGAGCGUGCUGGCGUCGUCCGUUUGCUCGGAAUUGGCGUGUCGCGGGGAGACGGCGCUCGUCUUCGUCUCAAGCGCAAGGUCGAUGCCCGACGCGCCCCCUGUUGGGGCGCCAGCGCCGUCGACUUGCUCGACAGCCGACGGGGGGCCGCCUCCUGCUUGGCCUUGGUUGCCCCGCCUCCUCCUCCGUCGGCGGGGGAGAGGGCGGGCUGAGCUUGAAUGUUGUUCUUCCCCCACGCGGGGAAGACGUCGUCGAUUCCGCCGCCGGCGGGCGGGCUGUCGGCCGCCAUGGUCGCUGUCGCACGGCGGGGGAAGGAGUAUCAUGUCGUAGCUGCCGUCAAGGGACAUGAACUCAAGACUCCCGAAACUGAGCACCGUCCCGGGCUGGAAAGGUUGCUGGAGACUGCCCAUCUGGAGCUUGACGGGAAGCUGUUCGUCAACACGCAGCAGGCCCCUACCUGGCGCGCCAACUGUCGGCGUUUCGAGACCGGGGGUCCCUGGGCUGACGAGUAAAAUGUCGCCGCGUGCCCUAGCCCAGAUGGGUCGGCGCGAGGCCGAGCGCGAAGGGGGGAAGAGAGGCAGCCGGAGACGGGCGUGUGAGAGGUGGAAAUCCUGCGGCCUUCGUGUUCAUCCCGCGCCCAGGUCGGGUGCGCUUGCAGUAGGGGGUUACAAGCGUCCACGCGGGAGGGGGAGCGAGCGGCCUCACGCGAGCGCCUGUCCCGUCCUCUUCCCCGCGCGGCCGACCCUCUGUAAGAGGACCCUGGUCCUUCCUUUUAUAGGCGUAAGGAGAGGAUCCAGGUGUACAAUGGGGGGUGUAGCAGAGUGCUACGUGUCUAGCGGAGGAGAGCUAGCGCCCUAAGUACAUGCCGUCGUGGCAGCUGGAGAGGUUUUGGCACCCGGUUCGUGUGGUGUCGUGGCCGUCGGAGGAGCGCUGGAGCCUGGCGGAAGGACAGCUGUCGGGGCUGUCGAGUCCUUGCUGACGUCCUCUUGCUUCUGUAAGGGGGCUGAGAGCCGCCGUCGUCACAGAGCGUGCGGGGCGCCAUCAUUGCCUAUCUGGCGGAGCGAGCCAGAUGGGACACCGGUCUUGUUCCCCGUAGCCUGAGUCAGCUUCGGGUAGGGUAAUGAUGGCGCCUCCUGUCGACGUGGUCGGUCCGCGCCCUAGGUUGGGCGAUGUGGAGGCUCCUCCGAGGUCGAGGUCGAGUCUGUCUUCCGUGGCCGUGGUCGAGUCCGAGCCCCUGGGUCGGGCGAGGCGGAGACCGUCGGCUGAGGCCAGGGCUGAGUCCGAGCCCUGGGGUCGGGCGAAGCGGAGUUCGUCGUCUUCUAGGGCUGAGCCCAAGUCCAAGCCCUGGGUCGGACGGAGCGGAGUUCGUCGUCUUCCGGGGCUGAGCCCGAGUCCGAGCCCUGGGUCAGGCGGAGUGGAGUUCGCCGUCUUCCGGGGCUGAGCCCGAGUCCGAGCCAUGGGUCGGGCGGAGCGGAGUUCGCCGUCUUCCGGGGCUGAGCCCGAGUCCGAGCCCUGGGUCGGGCGGAGCGGAGUUCGUCGUCUUCCGGGGCUGAGCCCGAGUCCGAGCCCUGGGUCGGGCGAAGCGGAGCUUCCUAUGGUGCUUGAGGUCGGGCCUGACUGCCUGUCAGCCUCACUCUGUCGAGCGGCACAGCAGUCGGAGCGGCGCAGGCGGCGCUGUUCUUCUGUCAGGCCGGUCAGUGGAGCGGCGAAGUGACUGCGGUCACUUCGGCUCUGUCGACUGGAGGACGCGUGUCAGGAUAAAGGUGUCAGGCCACCUUUGCAUUAAAUGCUCCUGCGAUCUGGUCGGUUGGCGCGGCGAUUUGGUCAGGGUUGCUUCUUGGCGAAGACAGGGCCUCGGGCGAGCCGUAAGUAUGUUCGUCGCUGGAGGGGGCCUCGGGCGAGACGGAGAUCCUUCGGGGUCGGCUGCCCUUGUCCGAGGCUAGGCUCGGGCGAGGCGUGAUCGGGUCCCUCGAAUGGACCGAUCCCUGACUUAAUCGCACCCAUCAGGCCUUUGCAGCUUUAUGCUGAUGGGGGUUACCAGCUGAGAAUUAGGAGACUUGAGGGUACCCCUAAUUAUGGUCCCCGACAAGGGGACUUCAAGCUAAACUUCGCACCUUCGGGAAUUCUCAGAGGCGCUUCGCUAUAAUUCACCGGACUGUCCGGUGCUCCAGGGGAGAGCGACUCUGAACUCGCCAGCUUCGGAUUUCCGCUUCGCUAUAAUUCACCGGACAUGUCCGGUGCACACCGGACUGUCCGGUAAGCCAGCGGAGCAACGGCUAUUCCGCGCCAACGGUCACCUGCUACAGCAUUUGUUUGAGAAGAAGAAGCUCACUCGGUCCGAGGGACCGUUUGAGAGAGGGAAAGGGUUGAAAGAGACCCGGUCUUUGUGACAACCUCAACGGGGAGUAUGUUUGCAAGAACCGAACCUCGGUAAAACAAAUCUGUGUGUCACACUCUUUAUUCGCUUGCGAUUUGUUUUGCGCCCUCUCUCGGACUCAUUAUUAUUUCUAACGCUAACCCGGCUUGUAGUGUGAUUAACUUUGUAAAUUUCAGUUUCGCCCUAUUCACCCCCCUCUAGGUGACUUUCAUAGAGGAGGACGACGGCUUAGGGGACGACGGCGGCGUAGGGGACUCGUAGCAGGGGUCACGACUUAGGUUGUCUCCAGCAACAUCCUCUAAAUUUCGUUCCCUAAAGGAAUAUUCUCUGUCCUUUACAGCACACUCUAAAAAAUUAUGUCCUCUAUAUCUUCUCAAUCUCCAACAACUUCCCCUAAAUUCGGUACUCUAAAACUACAGCAGACUUUCUUUUCUCGUUUAUUUAGUUUUUAUUUGUUUUCUUUUCACCUUUUUAUUAUAAAAGAUUUAACACCUUAAUUUAUGAAAGAAAAACCUUGUCCAAAAAAAAUUCAUAGCCAAAUUAUUCAUCUUUCAAUAGUAGCAUUAACAAAUUAUUGGAAAUUUAUGUUAUAUAAUUGUUUGUUGUCACGUUCUGUGCCAGUGUAGAUAUGCGUCGAUCGUCCAAAGAAAUACUAAACAAAGGCGGAGCAAGCUGGGCCGAUCUUCCAAAGAAAAAUAUUAAAAAAGCUGGAGAAAGAAACAAACAGCGGACAACUGCGUAUAGAGGACGACCGCUCGUGCGCUACGUUUGGCGGACGGCGAGCACCCGCUAAAUUUUAGCGGAUAUUUUACCGGCUAUUGUUGAGUGGAGCCAGGGCGGAAGAAAACGUUAUAUGUAGCGGACAGAACAAUUUACCGGCUAUUGUUGGAGACAGCCUCACGACCUCUGUUUACAAGUGGUCUGACUAAUCGCGAUUAGUUGGGUUGGUCGUCUGAAAGUGGCCGAUUAACUGGACGACUCGAUCGGACUUUCUGGUCGUCCAGAUUGUCCAAUUAAGCGUCCAAAUCGCCGAUUAGGCGUCUAAUUAGAGGGUUUACGGUCGUCCACUUGCAGCUAGAGUUUAGUAGCAAUUUACAAGCAACUAAUUAGUAAAGAUUAAAAGACAAGAUAAAUUUAUUAAACCUAAUUAAAUUUAUAUUUAAUAUUUAAUGUAACAUAAAACUUUUACAAGCAACUAACUAGUAAAGAUUAAAAGACAAGACAAAUUUAUUAAACCUAAUUAAAUUUAUAUUUAAUAUUUGAUGUGACAUAAAACUUUUAUCCGACCGGCGCGACAUGUUUGACGAGCAGUGAGCACCCCCGGCUAACGCUCGUCUCCAUGUCGUAUGGCCUCUAAAGCCGCGCUCCCCAAGAACAUCAGCUCUCGUCGACCGUCGGCAUGUUCGCCGGUGAGGGACUGUGAGGAUAAACGUGCCCGGAACUCCACUUACGUACGUAUCAUGCCACGUCGCCUAUCAGAUAGGGUCUGGACGCAUUAGGACCUGAAAGACACCCAAACCAAGUUCAUGGACCCAAAAUUGCAAAUUGAGAGUUUUUUUUUUGGGGGGGGGGGGGGGGGGGGGGGGGGGGGGUCCUCCAAGUUCAAGGAUCGCCGAUAGCUUUUUCAAGUUAAUAUCAUUAUUAGUGCCGGCUUUUAGCUUUUUUUUUUUUUACUCCAGACGAUACAGCCUCACGACAACUGUUGAAAAGGGAAAAUCAGUACAUGAUGGCCACAACCACAAACAUGCAAGAGCUGAAAGUAAAUUCCGAGUAGAGGUCGCUAUCUCGAGUCCACAACGGUGCCUUCUGGAAGCGCGGACAGGUGCACAAGAGGGGCAUGUGAUUUCAUGGAAGCAUUGGCACCAGUGAUCUUGGUCUCCUUUGUUCUGUUGAGCACCUUCCUCACCUCGUUUGCAAGCUCU
rnacentral:lncRNA from 1 species